UCGGGGCAAGCAGGAUAGAAGUUGAGAGCCAUGAUUUGCGAGCAGCCAUUGAAUGCCUUGUCAAUGUAAUCCUUUGGAAGAUCCAAGCUCUCGGAGAUGAGCUCCAGGAGGAACUUUGCAAGGUUGCGAACGCGAGUGGAGUAAUCGGCAGUAACUUUCCUAUAAGAUGAUCAUAUACCAGCGAUGUUAAGAAAGGAUGGCGAGAAGGUAUUUAUACCUGUAAGAUGCUGGCUUUUCAGGCCAGAGAUCUUGCAUCUCGGCCAGUGGGAGGCAGCUAUGGCGGAGGUAAUCUCUCCAGCUAAAGACCUUGUCUUGUGCAACAUUGAAGCUGGUUCCAUACCUCAUUCGGGAUUCGGUGUCUGUGGAGAAGUAACGCAUUUUCUCCUCGUUUGGGAGAGCGUGGAAUUCGCGAGCCACCGAUUGCAUUUCAUCCACCAAAGAAUGGGGAACACCGUGAUUGAUCACCUGUAUGGCGAAGAUCACACAAUUCUCGAUCAAUUCUAGACCCAGUGAUGGAACAAAGAGAUUUUGGGACAUCCAACACCCAACAAGAACAAUAGCACACCUGGAAGAAGCCCCAUUUCAUGCAAGCUUCACGGAUUUGCGGGACAAGCGCUGCUCGAGCCUCGCUCGAAUUCAAGGCGGCGCCAAGAUCCAAGACUGGGAAGCUUUCCUCGCGAUGAACGACAUUUGGGCGCUCCUCUUUGGAUCGGAUGUAAAUGCCGGGCACCUUGUGAAGGCCCGAAUCCAGCAGAUGUUUCACACCUAAGUGGAGCGGAAGAAUUUCCAUUGUCUUCCUAUGGUAGCGUUUCGGCUUUAGGUAGCACUGGUCCUUAUUAUGAAUACACAUGUUGCGCAAGAGUGUUUUAUAAAUUAAAAUAUGUUACUUUAAUGUGAACGUGGUAUCACUGGCUUGUAUUAUUAAUAAAAUAGAGCUUAACAUCAGAACUAGAAUAUGGCUAAAUAACAUGAUGAAUGCACGGAAUUUUAAAGUCUUCUGCCAACCGCAAGUUUUAUCUAUAAGCUUAACUAUACUUGCUAAUAUAUAUACUUUAUUAUGAAACAUGUGAAGUUUAUUUUUUUAAAGAAACCGACAUAAUUGCUUUCUUAGAUGUUUUUGGCAUGCAAGCUGGUGACAUCCUUUUGAAAUGGCCCGAAUCCACCAGAUUCUUCACACCCGAGUGGAGUGGAAGAACUUCGGUGGCCAUUGUUGAGCUCUUCGUAAAGAUAAGAAGGUCAACUACCGCUCAGCGGUCCAGAUGGCAUCACGAAUGGACGGACGUGAUUGCUCUAUUAUAUGCCACAGGCAAUGUCGUCUUCCAGGGCGGAGGCGCCACCGUCGGCGCUCCAGCCGGCUGCCCUAGGAGGAAGAACGCGCUGGAGUCUGGCAGCUGCCAGCGGCGAAUUGAUCCGCUCGAGCAGCAAAGGGCAUUGUGCUGCUGGAACUGGAGAGAUCGGGUACCUUGAUUCCGGAGAAGAGAAUCCGCGCGGGUCGCUUCGGCAGCGCCAUGCCGCGCUCUUCUGCUCAGCAUUGCUGGGCGCUGGCGAUGAUCAGCGCAAGGAGAAUUCCAUGGCGGUGGCGGUCAGGAAGGGUUCUAGGGGGAGGAGGAAAGAGUCCUUAUCAGCGAGGAAAAAUUUUGGCCACUGCUCGACAGGCUCUAAAGUCGUGUAAAUCAAAUUACGCGCUCACGACCAAAGAGGUCCAAGAGGACGUUCAUCGGAUCAUCGAGACUGGAUUUUUCGCGUCUUGCAUGCCUGUUGCCGAAGAUACACGAGGCUGCUGGAUGAGAGCUUCUCCGAUGAUCAUCUCCGCGACGUGAUCCUCAACUUCGUCAUCGCCAGGAGGGACACCACCGCCAGCACUCUCUCGUAUUUCACCUACAUGAUAGCCUCCCAUCCGGAUUGCGCCACCAAAAUCUACCAGGAGCUCCACGAGUUUGAAGAAUUCCAGCUCAGCGAGAAUUCCCAUCGCGCAAGUAGUUUCGAGGACAAGAUCCAAGGAUUUACCCAGCUGCUAACAUACGAAUUGCUGGCUAAGCUCGUCUAUCUCCACGCCGCGCUCAUGGAAACUCUCAGGCCCUUCCCUGCCAUACCUCUGGUGAAUGAGAGAGAGAAUCCCUUUGGAUUCUCAUUCAAAGCUUCUUGAACUAAUGAUUUUUCUUUCCAGAACUUCAAACUAGCUGUCACGGAUGAUGUUCUUCCAUCGGGUGCUGUGGUGAAAAGAGGAUCCACGGUUUCAUACGUGCCGUAUUGCAUGGCCCGUGUUGAAUCGAUCUGGGGCUCCGAUGCAUCGCAGUUUCGUCCCGAGAGAUGGCACAGAGAUGGAGCCUGGGAUUUCAGCGUCUCUCCAUUCAAGUUCACGGCAUUCCAGGUAAUCUAUCGAUCAAACAAAGGACGAGAUGAGGAGCGAGCGAGCAACAUUUCCUUUUUGCAGGCAGGGCCCCGCAUUUGUUUUGGCAAAGACAGUGCCUUCUUGCAGAUGAAGAUCACAGCAGCACUCCUGUGCCGAUUUUUCAAGUUUCAACUUGUUCCUGGGCAGAUUCUGAUGUACUGAGUCAUGGCCACCAUCUCCCUUGUGAAUGGUGUCAAAGUCACCAUCUCCAACUCCACUUGAGAAUAAGAGAAUUGGAAUUUUUUUGGUCCUUAUAUAGAAUAAGCAAAAAAAUGUCCAUCUUCUCUGUACCAUGUUUGAGCUCAUAAGAUCAAUUGAAAGUUAGUACUUUGUUUGUUAGUUCUUUUCCAGAAUGGCUAGAAGGGUAACUCAAAGUCUAGCAAGAAUGCAAUGGUCAGGUGGUUUCAUGUCAAGUAGAAGUCUACUACUUUUGCUAUUUGUGAAUAUGUGAUUGCACAUGAGUGGAUUUUUUAUUUACAAAUGUGUAGAUAUGUUAUUUUGUUUUCAAAUGCACACUGUGAGUGUUUGGAAUAUGAAAAGGGAAUAUAGAAAAUGUGCAUAUCAAUUAGCCCAAAAACCCUACCUUAUAUAUAGGAGCGAGUGGUCCGGAUUAAAACUAAUUUAACAACUAUCAAAAUCCUAUUAUGCUAAUAUUAGUAUACGGCAUCAUAACUAUACACUUGGCCCUCACAUCAUUCCUUCCUCUUGGAAUAAUGGAAGACCAUUAGGGUUCUCUUGUAGAGGGGCCGGGAUUUAGAGGAACAUUAGAAAGAGGCAUUGGCAGAUCUGUAGGUGGGAUUAAUCGCUCAUGAUCCCUUUGUAUAAAGUGUUUCAAUUGCUAAACAUGCACAAUCUAUAGAGGAUCGGUUUGUUGGACGUCAUGUCAAACCUUAUAAACCUGUGGUCCAACUUACCGCAACACCUGAUACAGUCCUUUCUACUGAGCAAGGAGCCCCUUAGAUAAACCACAUACCGUCAAAUGGGGAAAAUGGACUAACACCAAGUCAUCCACUUUAUACUUCUUAGGUGAAUGAUGAUGGGAGUUGUUGUAGCGCAUGUGAUCAUGGGAUGAGAUUUGGAUAUACUGUCACUGUGAAUCCUUGGAACUUUGGGGGAUAAAUGGGGAUAAAAUAGCCACUAAGGGCUCUCUCAUCAAGCAAUUGCCCCUUUUCCAGUUGGCUUAAGAGGAGAGAGAUAAAGUGUGCUACAGUUGUAAUGCUGUUAUUAUCGCACUUGUAUGCGACCUAAGUGUUCGGUAGACUCUGCUUGGACAAGUGGAAGAAUGAUUGUCAAAUACUGAUCCCACGACUUAGCAUCAACAACUCAUGGCAAUUGCGAAAGUAAACCCAGCUUCGUUAGUAAUAUUGGAUCAUAACCAUAUAGAAAUUUAUAUGAUGAAGCACCAAUAGAACUUUGCACCCCUGUGAUAUAUGCAUACUGAAGAGAUAGCAAAUAACCAUCCCAAUCCGAAUGCUGAAAGUUCACAUACUUCGUGAUUAUCCUUUUGAACAUCCGAAUGAGCCAUUCCAUUAGACUAUUUGAUUGUGGAUGAUAAACACUCGUGAAAGUGUGGCAUAUCCCCCAACCAAGACAUCAAAACAUGAAAUGCCUUAGCCAUAAAUGCGGGACCAUUAUCCAAACGAAUCCGCUCUGGACAAGAAUGCUGGAACACCACUCGAUUAAGGAGGAAGUAUCCAAUAGCAAUUGCGAAGGUGCUAACAAAAACACAAACUUCCACCCAACGAGUUAAAUAGUCAGAAGCAAUAAUAACAAAUUCAUUGCUAGCAGUCGACCAUGGAAAAGAUCCCAUAAGAUCAAAUGCUGCCAACUCAAACAAACAGAAAAUUGCAAUUGACUAUAACUGUCCUUCCACAGCAUGAGAAGGAGUAUUAUGAGCUUGGCACCAAACACUGAUACGCACAUACUGGAUAAUGUCACGUCGCAUCUUUAGCCAAUAGAAAGACCUGCGCAGCUUCUGGGUCACAUGAUGAUGUCCCAUAUGCCCACCUAGAAUAGGAGAAUCAUAGUAGGCAUGGAGAAACCGCGGAAUAAAGACAGAAGGCACCACCAGCCGUAAAUGAUUAUCAGGAUCCAUCCCCACAAAAUAAAGAAGACCGUCUUCAAGGCGAUAUUGAGAAUGUAAAUGCCGGAAAGGCAAAUCAUCAAUAAGUGAUGUAAUAUUCUCAAACCCAUCUCAAAGCCUUUGAAUCCAUGGCUUAAUCUUUUGAGCUUUGUAAACCUCAUCAAGAGAAGGUAGAUCUUGCUUUGCGCCUUGUGGACACUAAACAUCAAAUACAACAACUACCAAUGGCAUAAAAUCUUCAUCUAGAAAAUCCAUAGAUGUUAGAACAACAAACUCAUCAAAAACAUGAGAAGAGAGUGGAGAAGGAAGAGGAGCUUGAAAAAGGGCAUCAACAUUAGCCAUAAAACUCCUUGGGUAAUGAACAACGUCAAAAUUAUAUAUUUGAAGCUUCAAAGCCCACUGAGCAGUACAAUCAACCAGGUUCUUUCGCUUCAAUAAUGAAGUAACAACAACAUUGUUACUUUCAAGUAACGUCCAAGAACCAUGUAGAUAUGCAUGAAGUUUCUUGAAACCCUAGAUUGCUACUAAACACUCCUUCUUUGUCAUGGAGUAGUUCACCUUUGCUGGUUGUAAUGUAUGGAUUAUAUAUGCAAUAGGAUGGCACUGACUAGACACACUUGGGUUCUCUUGCAUCAACACACCUUCAAGACCAAUAUCAGAAGCAUCCACAUGCAAAAUAAAAGGUUGAGUGUAAUCAGGAUAUGCCAAACCAGAGGAGUUAUCAAUAGCUCUUUGAGAUCCACAAAUGCCCACUCACAAUCUGGAGACCAGAUGAAAGAUGAUGUUGAUAACUUCAGCAAUGCUCGCAACGGUGUAGUGCGAUCAAAAAGAUGAUCCACAAAAUGACCAAGAUACUACACCUUGUCCAAGAAGUGUUGCACAUCAUUCACACACUUUGGAAUAGAGAACUUUAGAACAGCCAUAAGUUUGUCAAGAUCAACCUGCAAACCCUCACAAGAAAUACAGUAUCUAAGAUAAAUUCUAUCUUUGGACCCAAAUACGCACUUCGACUGCUUCAACUUUAAACCAACGUCCCAUAGUCAAUCCAACACUUUACAAAUAUCAUGAAUGUGCUCUUCCCACGUCCCCUCUGAGUGGAUCAAGACAUCAUCAAUGAAGUCAGUAGUCACUUCCGACAUAUCAUAAAGAACUUCGUCCAUCAUCCGCUGGAAAGUUGUUAGAGCAUUGUUCAAACCAAACGGCAUCACCAAAAACUCAUACAAACCAAAUGGUGUAUAAAAAAAGGUCUUAGGAAUAUCUUCUGCAGCCAUAGUAACUUGCCGGUAGCCAGAAGCAAAACCUAGCUUGGCGAACUAACGACUUCACCCCAGACGAUCCAAGAGAUCAGUAGUGUGAGGAAAAGGGUACACAUCCGGGAUUGUCACUUUAUUUAAUGCAUGAUAGUCGAUGUAGAAAUGAAUACUCCCAUCAGGCGUCAUCACAAGAUGAGGUUCACAUGCUCAAGGACUCUGCAACUUCAGAAUAACACCCUUCUCUAACAUCUCCUUGACGUUUGCAUGUAAAAUCUUGAUUUCUUUGGGUGACCGAUGAUGAACAGGAACAUUGAUUGGAUGAGCAUCCCUAGUUAGAAUCAGAUAACAUGUGGCAAUCUUGGCCCUAGACGAUAGGUCAAAUUCAAAGAGAUCAAAAUACUCCUUCAUGAGUCAGUUAACCGCUACAACACAAAGAUUGUCGAAGGGAUCAAAAAAGGGAAGAGCAGAAUAAGACGGAAACAUAAGAGGAAAUAGUGGGGGAACAAAAGUAAUGAAGGUAGAGGUAGAAAUAGAGGGACGAAGGGGUAUGGAAGUGAAAGGAAUGGAUGAAAUAUAUAGAAGUAUAAGACAAGGGGGAGAAGCCUCAAAGUCACACUUGGCAUGAUUGCGUUGCAACCAAUCCAUACCAAGGAUGAAGUCAAAAGCUUGACUUGGCACCACCCACAAUGACUGCAACUCAAGCUUAAGAUCGCCCACAUGCACAACCAGGUUCGCCUCAUCCCAUCUACACUUGCAUUGUGUGGCAGAACCAAUUUUCAUUCUUUAUGGCAACAGUUGUACACAUGCAUGUGCAUGGCAAUGGCAACAAGUUGAGUAAUAAAAGAUAAACUUGAACAUAUAUCAACCAACACGGAGAGAAUAAUAUUAGACCUCUUGUUAUAAAACAAGCUUGGAAAGUAAAAACUGGAUGAACCGGUGCCGAGUGAACCCCUUGAUGAUACUCCCGAAAGAAAGAUGGAGGGGUCACUGACUUAUUUGUGCAAGAUCCCUCCAUUACUCACGUGACUCCUCAUUUCCCAGAUGCAUCUAAGUGUCGCGAAUGUGACUUCGGGUAUCGAAAGUUACCUGUCAACUAGUCCUUACGGACACUCUUACCUUACUGCCACGAUGGCAGGAGGUCGGUAUUGCUGGACCCGUUAUCAGUCUCCGCCUAAGCUAGUUGAGAAACUGGUCAUCACAUGUGCACUUAGACCGGAAGGGCACUAAGGAAGGAAAUCCUAAGUUGUCAUUUAGUCAAGCAGACUUGACACGGUGAUGAGAAACUCAUGAUGUUGGCUUGCACUUGCUAGUGUUGGGAACCCCCGCGAUACUGAGCUUGGUCCCUCAAUAUCGCUAGAUGAUAGCUUACCGUGUCUGCCAAACACCCUCGCUAUCAUACCCUUUGUGUUGGUCUCAUUUCGGUCCCAAAUGCUAUUUAUGGAAAGUGUCUAGAUUAGCUCACUUGGCAUAUCUACGGAAUGUAGAGAUUGGCCUGAACACAAUGGUGUUCUUCCCAUGUCCAAAUUCGCAAUCUAAGGACAUUCCAUGUUUAGUAAGUUUCGGACUUGUCCCAGAGACUAACUCCUGAUACUAAGGGAGGCUUGGGGUGAAAGCCCAAAGCGUGUGUUCCUCAAGGGGGGGGGGCUGUGGGGGGUUCCAAAUGUAUAGUAGGGAUAGUGGGUAGGUCGGGCAUGGCCGACCAACCUGAGGCAUAGUCUAGCUCCCGCUUGCGUGCCUGUCCUUGUUCUGCGUCCGGCUUGGGUCUAAGCCCAAGUUCCAUUCCAUGCUAGUUGGUGGAGUACCCAUAUCCCCACGCUAGGCCACCAGUUGCCGAAAUAGCGCCAGACCCUGUUUGGCUCCGUUUUGCGUGCUAGUCCUAGCAUUGGGAUGAUAGUUGCUUCAGGACUGUUCCAAGUCGCUUCGGGCUCCUAUCCCUUCGCUCCUUGGGCUUUAUGCUCGGGAGUUGCUCCGUGGUUCGGUUCCGUCACUCCUUGGCUCCAUGCUUGGGAGUUUGGCACCAUUCCUUUGUUCAGUGGCCCAAGGCCCUGAACCUCAGGUUCUAUGGACACGUGGCAUGGACAUGUGGCAUGUGACACGUGGCAUCUGUCACGUGGCACAAAGAGGGUUUAGGUUCCGCUUCGUGGUGUUAUCCUAUGGUAAAUCACCAUAGGAUAAAGGGUCAAAACCACGUGCGCUACAUUUGGUAUCAGAGGAUGAGUCUCGGCGAGUACUAUCCAAUGAGAUUGGGCAACUAGUCUCGUUGCAUACGCAGAGAUGAAAAUGAUGAUCCGAGUGGGUACACGUUUGGUGCAAAGGGUUCACAAUUGUUCCUUGGGUAUGGUUUUUGUUACCUUUUGUACCGUGAUAAUGUGAGCUUGCUCUUGGGCUCAUAAGAUGGAUUGAGUUGUUCCGUUUGCACGAGUUUACGUUUGGGCUCGUGUGUGAGGCACAUUAGCAACUCGAGGUUACAAUUGUGAGUUGGCGGGAUUAAUGUUAGCCUAUCAGUGGUUCCAUAAGUUGUUCUAGUGGUUCCAUGAGUUGUUCCAUGUACCAUGGGUAAAAGCAAACCUUCCCUGGGUUUGCUAUGAGUGGCAAAUAGGCUGGUCCGUAGCUGUUUAGCACGACACUAGUGGAUCUUUCCAAGGCAUGAUUACAAGUGGAUCAAUCAAGAUUGUAGGGAUUAGUCUAUUGGUUCAAGUAAUCAUUGUCAUGCUCUCCUAUAAACUUUUCUUGGAUUGGACUGAAGGCAGUGCGAAUGCAAGCUUGAGGUUUAGUCAAAGAUGAGACCGAAAAGAGAGUCAUCGGGGACGAAGGAUCAAACACGUAAAUCAUUUUCUUUUCUUGAAGAAAUGAUUUGCAAUGAGGUGUUGACUCAUUGCUCGUAUUCACAUUAUGCAAUCAAGAAUCCCUAUCUUGAUGCAUGAUGAUUAUGAUGGUUUUACAAGUGGUGAGUUAUGGGAUGGAUAGCGGUGAAGCGCUAAACCAUUUUGUCUAGGCUCACUAUUGGAAGACUUGGGUUACAAUGCUCAAUUCUUUUCCGGGGAACCUAGCUAUUGCUCCUUGAGUAGCUUGGUGUUGGGUUAAGUUUUGAGUUUGAUCGGAUAGCAAGUGGCAUGAGCUUGUCUGUGUGGUGAACAAAAGUUAGUGGUGUUGGGUGUUGUAAAUCUCUAUCGGUAGAGUGUGGCAUUUAUGUUGCAUUUUGUCGAAUCGAGUUUGCACUUGAUACUCACAUAAACCUUUGAAGUAAUGACAUAGACAUUACUCGUGGUGUUGCUCAAUUGAUGAUCAAAUCAUUGUGAUUUCCAUAUCAUAUCCAUGUGAUAAUGAGCAAUGUGUUUACGAAGUUGCUUGGUUAAACGAUGAUCAACCCCAAAGUGGUUGAUAGUGAUGCUAGUCUACUUGCAUGAAGUAGCAUUGUAGUAGCUUUGACUGAAUUCUCGAUAGUGGUCCAUUAUGCUAAGCUUAAGUUGGUAUGUUGUUCCUUUGAGAGUUUGCCCAUAAAAUGUUGGAAAAGGGAUGUGGCAUUCAUUUGCUAUAACUCAUUGGUUUAUCCAUUAGCACUUGGAGUAGAUUGUUGGAUGGAAAAGGUGUGUAGUUAAGGCAUUGAUAUCGUUAACACUUGUGUUAGUGGAAAUGGCAUUGUUGAUUCGAGUGAUGAGGAAUUUUCCUUAGAGCUUGAUUUUCCAUGUCAUUUUUCUUGUUAGUGUUUUGGCUUCACAUUAGAUCUUGAAGGUGAUUGAAGAAAAGUGUUAGUGCAAUGUGAAUAUCUGAAGAUGUGGUCUUCGUGAUUAAGCCUUGGAUGUUCCAUUUGCAUUUUACGGAUGUCGGUGUUGGAUGUCGAAAGAAUGGGCAGAAAGAUGUUCGAGGCUUAAGCAUAUUAUAGGUCAUGAGAAUUUGUGUUGAGGUGAACCUAUGUGAAGUUGUUAGUAGGAGGAAGUUGGUUGAGUUUUGAAAAUUUGCAUUCCUAGAUUGAGAGUCAUUCUUUCUCUAGGAUUGGAAGAUUUUCCACAAAUUUUCUUAGACUUUUCCAAUGGCUGAUCUGUUGGUCACUUUGCUCGAAAACCAUUCCGUUUUCGUAAGCCAGUACAAACUAGUGAAGGGGUUGGAGUUGACUUCAGUUAGCUUACACCUUAGUAGGUAGUUUGUAUGAUGCAGCCCAAAAGGGAUGCUAACUUUUGGGGCUAAGGCAAUUGAGUUGGAUAGAGUCUGGAGUUAGUGUAGAAAAGUGGCCGUUGCACUUUUCUAAGAAAGGUGACCCUUGUGCCUUUCUUCUAUAGUGUUAUGCUUGGUGGCAGGUUGCACCUUGCAUUUUGUUAGACUCUAUGAGAGUAGUGAGCUCUCACUAAUCUUGACUUGGACUUGGUGGUCCUGCGCCUUGGCUGAGGAUAGUGAUGUCCAACUUGGUUAUUUGAAGUUGAGAUGUUGGUACCCGUACUAUAGCUUUGUAUAAGUGGAGGUUGUGUACCGACAUGAGUCCAUCUCAUGGUCUUCGCUUGAGUUUCGACUUAGUUUUGAUCAUGUAUAGCUAGCCUCUUCAAGGCAUGCUCAGAGCUAGUAGCUAAAUGUAUUGGUGAGUUUAUCGCGGUUGAGUUGGAUUCGAGUGGUCAUUUAGUUUGUGCUUGUCUAUGAACCUUUAUCUCGUCCUUGAGGUAUUACGUUCAGGUUGGACAAGUGUAUGACUCGAUGACAUGAGUUUAGUGUUUGGGUCUUGUGAAGGCAAGUUGAAAGAGUGAUUGUUAGUUGCUUUGCGACUAGUGAUUACUUGUAGACUUUGUCAAAGGCUUUUGAUACUUGCUUCACUUGAUGAUGAUUUAGCAGUGAUGGGUUUACUUUACCAGAUAGUGUUGCGGAGGAUCGUGUCAUUUGACUUACAUGGGUUUUCCAUGUUGGCAUGUCGACUCUACCUCUGUUGAUAUCAUUUGGUUGCGUUUAGUUCAUAGUGUUGGAUUUCAUUGAGUCUUGGACGUGGUGAUUCACUCCUUGAGGAAGUGUUAUCUGUAACUGAGUUUUGCUAAAGGAUUGGUCUCGGAUACUAACUAAAGUAUCUUCGACCUUGGUUAGCUUGGUUGCUAGAGAGCUUUGAGUGGUGAUACAUUCGUGCUUACUUCUAGUUUUGUUCUAGUGAUGAUAGCAUUGAAAUGAUGCUCUGUCGUUGACAUUAUUGAGGUUGAGAUUCGAGUGAAAUGAGAUGUCUCUCCUUAGGAUUGAUAUUGAGUUUCAUUAGUCUUAAUGAAGAUAGUGUUGAUGAUUUGGCUAUGGCUUUGUGUUAUUGGCAUUCGUACAUUUGCUAGUUAGCAACUAUGUUAGCAUUCAAACGAGCUGAGUGGCAAGUUUGAGUUAGUUGUGUUCUAGAUGAGAUUAUUUAGUAGGGGUUGAGCUUUGGCUUUUCCUUGAAAAGUGAUUUAGUCGUGGAUAACACUAACUUUACAAGAGGAAGAGUUAGUGAUUGAUAUUGGAAUGUUUGAAUCCUUAUUGGAUUUGAGUUGGAAUAUAUCAAUCAUUGAUGAUUCUUCUUGUGCUUGUUAUGAAGUGAGUUACGUCUUGCUAUAGAUGGAUUCAUGGAGGAUCGUUUGGUGAUCACUUGUUGAGCAUAGCUUCGUUAUGCUUAGCUUUUGGAUUGAUGCAGAUAUGCUCUUCAUUAGCUUUGGCAUUAUGAAGUUUAGCUUAUGGAUGUGUUAAGGAAGAUAUUGUGGGUUGCACCAUAAUUUCUUCUUUAGCAUUGAAGUUAGUUCAUGUGAGACUUGUGAUCAUUGUUAGGCAAGACUUAGCUAUAGACUUCUUCGAGCUUUUGGUUCUUUGAGUUUUAUGCUCGUUGUUCCAUUUGUUAGAAGUUGUUAGGGAAGGCAUUUUGGCUGAUUAGCUUCAAUGUUGAAGUUGGUUUUUGCAUCAUUGGUGAUGAUUGACUAUCAUCUAGGAUAAUUGAUUAUCCUUGUCAAAGGUUUUGCUUGAUUAUUGUUGGUAUAGAAUGAUUUGCUAUUCUUCGGGAUAGUAGAUUCUUUCUUCAAUGAUGAUUAUGCAUUUCUACAUUUGAUAGGAUGAUUAAUGAUCUUUUAUGGUGGUUAGUUGUUCUCUUUGAUGGCUUGUGGCUUUUCGCAAUAUCACAUGUUCUUUGUGAUUUGCUCUGGAUUGGUCUCUUGGGUUUGAGACAUCAGUAGGAUGUUGCUGACACUUGCUUAGGCAACUUGAGUUCCUUGGUAUUGUUGGCUGGGAUCUAUUCAGAUUGGCUUUUGUGAUAGUUGACAGGAAUAAGUGUUUGUUGAUCUUACCACAUUCAUUCUGUUCUGUUGAUUAUUGCUCGAGUUAGUUUUGAUAGAUUGGGAUGUUAUUUCCUUCGGGUGAUACAUUUGUGAGCAUUGUGCUUGUCAGUCAAUGAUACUUUGUGUUCUUUGAGUUCUCUUUAGUAAGUUGUUUGGCAUACUGUCUGCCAUCUUCAAUAGUGCAAUUUCAUUAUUGAGUUUCCUUGAUGAUAUACUUGCUAUUGAAUUUUGUUGGAUGGUCAAUCCUAUGUUUUCCAAACAUUAUGAUCUUGGUGGUUCCUAUUUACAAUCAUAUUGGUUUAUCGGAUGAUAACUUACUUGGAAUACUUUUGUGUUCUAAUCUAAGAUAUCUUCACAGAUAAUUACAUCUCUAAAAUAUCAUUGUCUAUGACUUUGAUAUUGUCCAUCUAUUGAUCUUUGCACUUGGGCCAGUAUAGGCAGAUUGGCUUCGGCACUUCGUGUGCAUGUUGAAAUCUCUAGUCAUGGGGUAGCUACUGUCGACUGGUCACAUAACCCGCCUCUCUGUCGAUGUUCCUUAUUCCGUUGAAAGGGCGUGACCGUGUAAACAACUCUAACUGCCUGUUUACAGUAGUUUAUCUAAACCUUACCGACGGGUUUGGUUUCUUUGCUCAGGAGGGUUGGGGCCUCUAGCUUCUCUCUCUAUGUUCCUGCGGGCAGGGCAUAUCACACUUUUGUAAGCUGGGUGACUCCCAAAGCAGCAGGGGUGGCUGACUCCGUUGGUCAUUUCCUUGUCGGCGACGGCCAGAAGGUGUCUGAGCUGGUAGCGCAUCCGCGUUAGACAAAGAGGUUACCCCGAACUCAUUUAAGUUGGUGCAUUUCUCACAUAGUGUGAGUACCGUGAACUUUUGCUGGAGUUGUUUCCUUGGCGGUAUUCUAGACUCGAGUAUGCAUCGACGAGGACGUCGAUCUUCCCUAGGGGGGGAGAGUGUCGCAAAUGUGACUUCGGGUAUCGAAAGUUACCUGUCAACUAGUCCUUACGGACACUCUUACCUUACUGCCACGAUGGCAGGAGGUCGGUAUUGCUGGACCUGUUAUUAGUCUCCGCCUAAGCUAGUUGAGAAACUGGUCAUCACAUGUGCACUUAGACCGGAAGGGCACUAAGGAAGGAAAUCCUAAGUUGUCAUUUAGUCAAGCAGACUUGACACGGUGAUGAGAAACUCAUGAUGUUGGCUUGCACUUGCUAGUGUUGGGAACCCCCGCGAUACUGAGCUUGGUCCCUCAAUAUCGCUAGAUGAUAGCUUACCGUGCCUGCCAAACACCCUCGCUAUCAUACCCUUUGUGUUGGUCUCAUUUCGGUCCCAAAUGCUAUUUAUGGAAAGUGUCUAGAUUAGCUCACUUGGCAUAUCUACGGAAUGUAGAGAUUGGCCUGAACACAAUGGUGUUCUUCCCAUGUCCAAAUUCGCAAUCUAAGGACAUUCCAUGUUUAGUAAGUUUCGGACUUGUCCCAGAGACUAACUCCUGAUACUAAGGGAGGCUUGGGGUGAAAGCCCAAAGCGUGUGUUCCUCAAGGGGGGGGGGCUGUGGGGGGUUCCAAAUGUAUAGUAGGGAUAGUGGGUAGGUCGGGCAUGGCCGACCAACCUGAGGCAUAGUCUAGCUCCCGCUUGCGUGCCUGUCCUUGUUUUGCGUCCGGCUUGGGUCUAAGCCCAAGUUCCAUUCCAUGCUAGUUGGUGGAGUACCCAUAUCCCCACGCUAGGCCACCAGUUGCCGAAAUAGCGCCAGACCCUGUUUGGCUCCGUUUUGCGUGCUAGUCCUAGCAUUGGGAUGAUAGUUGCUUCAGGACUGUUCCAAGUCGCUUCGGGCUCCUAUCCCUUCGCUCCUUGGGCUUUAUGCUCGGGAGUUGCUCCGUGGUUCGGUUCCGUCACUCCUUGGCUCCAUGCUUGGGAGUUUGGCACCGUUCCUUCGUUCAGUGGCCCAAGGCCCUGAACCUCAGGUUCUAUGGACACGUGGCAUGGACAUGUGGCAUGUGACACGUGGCAUCUGUCACGUGGCACAAAGAGGGUUUAGGUUCCGCUUCGUGGUGUUAUCCUAUGGUAAAUCACCGUAGGAUAAAGGAUCAAAACCACGUGCGCUACAGUGUCCAGACCUUCCAUUGCAGCAGCACCAACAAGAUGUUGUUGACGCCAAAGUCUCCACCUAGGAAAUGGAGGCACUAAUCUGGAAAACACUGAUAAUGUCGAUAAGUGUGAUCAACUUCAUCACAUGCCCAACAGCAAACAUCACGGCCACGACCACAUCCUCACCCUUGUCCUUGGACUCGAGCAGCAGUGCAUCAACCUCCAUUAGAAUAGGACUAUCGCCCAUAGGAAGUGGAGCGAAAGGACGGGCAGCAAGAAGUGGAAAAGGUGAUAUCUCAUAACAUUAUGCCAAGUGAAGAGCAUCAUUCCUAGCUUGAUCUGAUUUGACAUAUUUGGCUCUACACAAAGUAAAAGGCUUCAGAAACAAAUGUCAAAUUGCAUCACCAACUCAAAUGACCCUUGAUGAAGACGAUACAAUUGUUAUAAGGCAUCAUCACAAUCGCUAGCAUGUUCGAAUGCGCGUUUGAAGACAUCCAGGAGAACACUUCAAUCCCCACGAGUGGCUACACUCAAACCAUUGUAGCAUUGCAGCGCCAUCCUUUGGAGACACGUGGGAAACUCAUGCAAACGUCGGGCAUCAUCCCAAGAAUGAUAUGUGGCAAUCACUGUGAAAUGAUUGAACCAAUGGUACACAUCAUCCCUAGGAUUCCCACGAAAGAACUCUAGCCGAAUGCAAGGAUUGGCACCAAGACCAAGAGGAGCUGUACCAUGUGUCGUGAAUCCUGCCAUCAACUGAGUUUGGUUGUUCAAUUGCAAUUGCAUAGCAUCAAGCAAUUGCACCAACUACUACUCUAGAGUCAGAGGAGGAGAUUGUUGCUUUGCCAUGAAAAUGAAUGAAAAAGAAAGAGCAAAAAAAGAGAAAUGAGAAGAAAACUAUAAGGAAAGGGAGAUCUAAACAAUGGAAAAACUAGAUUUAAACCAAAAUCCUGAAAAGAAAGAAUAAAAGAAAGGAAAUGGAAAAAACUAGAUUUAAACAAUGCAAAAGCUAGAUUUAAACCAAAAUCCCAAAUCCAAGCACUCCUUAAGGACAAUGAAAUGUGCCCCUCAUCUUCACUAAUGUGAGUGCUUGGAAUAUGGAAAGGGAAUAUAAUGUGCAAUAUCAAUUAGCCCAAAAACCCUAACUUAUAUACAAGAAUGAGUGGUCUGGAUUGAAAUCAAUCCAACGGUCAAAAUCCCACUACGCUCAUAUUAGUAUAUGGCAUCAUAGCCGUACACUUAGCCCUCACAACACAAAAUUAUAAUGUAUAUAAUCAUACUAUAAUGGUAAUUAAAACAUGAUUAUAAUAUUUUUAUGGGACAUAUAUAAAUCCAACCCACAGGGCACAAUGAGUAAGGCCAAUUCUCUUUUAAAGGCCAUUUUUUAAUCUUCAUAGAAGAAGUGCACUUUCCUCAAAAUGAUUGAGUUCCAAAUACCACAGAAGGACAAGUGUUUUAGCUGCUCAAUCAAGUUUAGAGAGAUAUGGUUUCUCUUUUGGGAGGCCAAGAAGAUCACUUUAAAUUAUAUAGAUCUGGAGGGGCUGAAGAAGAUGAACAAGAACAAGUGUGCAUUAUUGAGCAUAUACACUUUCAUCUUGGGCUAGGCAAUGUACAAUUUGUAAUCCAUACCCAGAGUGCAAGGUGCCUAUACAUCAUGUUCCAGAACACCUGUAAGAAAUAAAUCUAUGCAAUUUUCACAUAAUGUGUUCACAAAAGCAAGAUGCUCACCUAUGCCAUAGAAACUAACAUUUUCACAAGCUUUUUCUGGUCACUAUGUCAAACUUGCAAGGAUGUGUGUUCAAAAAAUGAGCUCUUAUAUUCCCCAUACCUUAGAGUGAAGGAUUAAAAACGUUGCGGCAAAUAUCAUUAUACUAUAUCCUCUCUACGGGUUGUAAAUCAAAGAUACUUAAGGACCAUUGGUAUGUGGUUAACAAUCCAUGAAGAUUUGCAUCACAUACAUACCAUUAUCAUAACACUGUGUUUGAAAGAUAAAAACCUAAAAUAUGUCAGACUGCCAACAUUAAGGAUUCCACAUAGACUGCCAACAUCUAAGGAUUCCACAUAGCUUUUAGAUAAAGUGUGUGUAUGGGACAAGCACUCACCUUUAUAUUUGGAAGGUGUACAAUUUGGGGAACAAUGACAAUAAGAGCAAUGCUUUGCAAAAAACCAAGAGCCUCACUUAAACACUCAUGAGGACUCAUGAGUAUAUCUUGAGCAAUCCACAAAACGGAUAGCACCUUCUUGCAGAUGAAGAUCACUGCAGCAUGUUUCUCUUUUUAUCUUUUACCUGAGUGGGGAAGUAGCAUUAAGAAUGUGUUGCAUUUCUCUUUAAGUUUUGCAGGAAAAGUUGUGAACAUUUGAAGGCUUAACAUGGUUCUCGACUCUUUGAGUGGAUGGUACCGAGAUAGAGGCUACUUUGCACAGGUAGAGUUUUCCGCAUUUCAUUUUUUGAGGUGGUUCUAGUGACAGUACACAGGUGACAGACCUGGAGAUAAUGCCAGACAAUAUUCUCAAAGUACAAUUUGCUGAGGCAGUAGUUAACAGCAUCAAUAUACGAUUUUUGGACAGGAAAACAUAAGGUUUUCUAGUCUGAAAGAAGUAAGGGUGUGUGAAAAGUUGAACUUGUAGGGGGAAGCCGACUGUCAGGAAAACAAGGCUGAAACAUUGCUUCAUCAGCUUACGACGAAAAAAGAACAGAUGAAUGAAUUCCAAAAUCUUUUUUGUUUCUAGCUUUAGACCCUGUAUGAUAAAUUUACAGGUAUACAGCUUGCAACAAGGUAGACAAGAUGCCGAAACGGUCUUUACAAUGGGAACUAUGAAAGAUGUCAAUAUCGUGCCACAAGCUGCUGGAGGUAUCAUUUCUAUUGUUUUAUAUGUUAUUGAAGAGGUAUUAUUUUCAGAUAUUGGAUGGUAGAAUUGACAAUGAAUGUAGUGGAAUGUGUACCUGGAGGAUUUUCUGCAGGAGGGUUGUCAGGAAACGGGUAUGUCAUCACAACUUAUAAGACUGAAUUGAUUUUCUAAAUACCACCAUCUGCGCAGCAUGAUGAACAGAGCAUUGUCAGGUUUAGUUGGGAGGUAAGACAGUGUAUGCAUGCCAUUUAUCUUCAAAGCUACUAACUUGAAUUUACACAGUGAGCAGGAGCCCGGGAUAAACAUGGUCAGGCCAAGACUAUUGAUGUGUAUGGGGGACCACUUACAUUCAGGUAGUCAGUGUCUUCACUUGGUUCUUCUUUUAUAGAGAGUUUUAUAUCUGUAGUGGCAAAGUGCAUGACAACAUGCUCAUUGCGAAGCUUGAGCUGGUAUACACAGAUUUGAGUAAUUAUGGCUCUUCUCAGGUACAGUAUCAUUGUUUGCUUGUCUUUUUUCGCCGCCAACCGCUUCUUUUAUGUUCCAGCUUGUUUUAAACAAGGAGCAAGGACUGCCAAUUGCUUUGGAUUGGCUUUUCUUCAAUCGUGUCAACAUCAAGGCCCUUGAGGGUGUGAGGAUUGGGGGGUUGUUAAAGGUGGGAUGGACCUUAGUUAAAGAGCCAAGGAAUAAACAUAAUUGACAUCAAAGAAUAAUGUAAGGUGUUGUUAUUUAAAAAAUUCCAUCAUAUGAAUAUGUUUGAAGUUAGUUGUGGAAAAUACUAUUGUGUCAACUUUUUAAGGCCAUCCCUAAUAGAAUGGACAAGAUUGGGAUAAGGACGAAAUAUAGCUUUUUGUUGAUUGCCCAAUGAAAAUGCUGAGACUAAACAUCCUUUUUAGAAAACGUUUCAAGUUAUGGAGAAAAUUCAAGUGAAAAUUAGACAAAAGAAAACCCAUAAAUUAGUAUGAGUUAGACCGACAACCAAUAUUCUUUAGCAAUAUAUUCAAGUACAAAGACAGAUGUCUAGAAAACAUAAAAGAUAGAGGAAUAGACAAGGCAUAUCAGGAUAUACACAAGGUAGGGUUAUCUAUUGUUGCGGAGGCUAUUAAGAGCAUUUUAAAUGUAUUAAAUUUUGAAAUAUCACAUAAAAAAGUUUGAAUUAGCCUUUGUUGAAGCCUGAAAAUACAAAGCCAAUAUAGUGGAUAGGAAAUGGGAAGAUAGCUAUACAACAGUAUAACUACAUAAUCUUCAAUGUAAAUCCAAUAGGUCAGUUGUUACCAUUUAUAAUACCAGCUAAAAGCAUAAAUCUUGAUAUGACAAAGGCUGAACCAAUUCAAGUAGUAAGAAUGAAUAAAAACACAAAAAAAAUUGGACCUCACUAUAAUAGAAAGGUACAUUGCCAAAUUAUAUUAGUUUAGGUAGUAAAAUAUUCAAGAAUUAACAUGGAAUCCAACAAAAUGGGCUUAGCAAGGAGUAAAGAAAGGAAAAUCUUUUGGAUAUGAAACAAAGAUAAAAAGAAAAUUUAUAAGGCUGAACAAUGUUUCAUUGUUAAUAAUAAGGAUGAAACAUUUGAAUAUUCAAGAUAUUAUUCAAAUGGCCAUGUUAAAAAGCUUAUGGAAAGGACAGUGGGUUGUUAAGACAAGAUAAUCCAUGUGGUUUGUCAUGCAAGAGCACUUGUUGUCCAAACAAACAUAUACCUCUUAGAUCAAUCCUCUAAUAAAUAUGAUGUUAGUGAGACACAUAGAUACAUACUUUGGGAAUGCAAGAAUAUAUAAAAUAUGUGGAGAAGGACAUGCUAACAGCUGCAAUAAUACUCCCAAAAAUAAAUAUGUCUAAUAUACAAAACUGUAAUAUGGGGAGAAACAAUUGCUAAGAUGAGAAAUGGAAUAUAUUGUUAGUUCAAUAUGUUUAUUGACUCAAAAGAUACCUUUAAUAUAUCCAUAUGGAUUGUGUUGGUUAAACCAAGGGUUACCAUUUUUCAUUGAAGACCACUUGCUUAAAACUGGUAGCUGUCUAAAUAUGGGCUCGAAUGGUAGGCCAUAUGCUCCAUUUGGAGAAAAAAGAAUGGUGAAAUAGGGAAAAAAAAGAAAAAAAAGAAAGAAGCAAAAUCUAACAUUUGUUAUGGAAAUAAGGUGAAACAAGUAUUCAUGAACAGAUAUAGACACCACUGAAUGGAUGGUUUCAAAUGACAUCAUUUAAGACAGUCAUCAAGAUCCAAGUAAUUCCCCCCUUGAGAGAGUUUUUGUUUUGUUAAACACAAAACCAACAAAUACUCAAGAUGUUUUUUUAGUAAAUAAAAAGCCCUAUUUAAUGAAGUUGGACUAGAGUCAAACUCAAUAAGGACUUCUUUCCUUGCUAAUUCUUCCAAACCUGUUCCCUUGAUUAAGGUUGCACUAGAUAGUAGGUAAGGAUAGUGGAAUCUCAUUAAUCCAUAUCAAAUUAGAAUAAAACUCAAUAGAGUUUUCUUUCUUUAUUGAUUCUUCUAAGCUUGUUCCCUUGGUUGUGGUUUCGCUAGAUAGUAGGUAAGGAUAGUGGAAUUUUAUUAAUCCAUUCAUAUACGUCACUAAUUAGAUGACAAAGCAUUUGGCUACCUUAAGAGAGUUAUAUUUACUCCUGCCAAUUACUUAGGCUUUCACUUUGACAUUUAGAGCAUUGGGCAAAAUCAUAUUGCGUCCAUAGGGACUAUUACAAUGUUAGAUUCCUUUUAUUCAUUCAAAUUUUGCGUCAAUUGUCAAAGAAUUAUAAGCUCUUGAAUUUGGAUUUCCUGAGAAGUCAUCCAGCCUAGUACUACUCAAACUCAAAUAUGCUUAAUUCCAAAUAUCCUAAAACCUUUAACUAAUUAGAAAAAAGGGUGCAUUUUUAUUCAUGAGCCCUUUCCCUCUAUAUUUGAACUCUUAUAAAUUAUUUUUUAAAUCAUUCUCUUUGGUUACUUACAAUAUGUCCCUUUCUUUUAUUAAUUGAUAUUUAACCAACUCAACACAAUCAGCAUGGACACAUUAAGGGUGUCCUUUGAGUUAAUAGACCUAUUGAAAGGGAAUAUAUAGUAGAUUCCAUCUCUUAAGAUCAAUCAAUUUGUUCACAUAGAACUUUUUUCUACUUCAAUCUUUAAAGUUCUCAUUUAAAUACUUGCUAAUACCACCAAUAUCUACAUCAAGGGCUAUUUCACUUGGGCUUGUGCCCAAAGUUGCACCAUGACCCCCAUGCCCUUCUAUUAUACACUCUUUACUGGAUUUUGACUUCUAUGACCACCAUCUUGCUAUCUUAAUCAAUAAAUUAGGAUCUAGGUUAUUGCACACUUUGGCACUAUAGCCUAGCUUUUGGUUCAUUCCAUAUUGUCACUUCUACUUGUUUGAAUGCUUGGAAUUGAUUAGGUUGGACCCUAAUCUUUUAAAGUCUAUCAUAUUUGGUUGGUGGUAUGAAUCUCAAGUUAAAUAUGACUUCUAUAAGCUAAAGGAAGUACUUUAUAAUUAGGAUACUUUUAAGCACCAAACUUGCCAAUGCAAAUAAUGGCUAUAAGUGAACUACUUGGAUGAAUGCAUAUCACUAGUAGCCUAGGUCAUUGAGAAAAGUUUUAAUCACAUCACCCUUAAGCCACUCUAGAUCAUAAAAAUCAUCACUAAAAUAUGUGAUGCUUGGGAUUGCAUUACUAGUUAAAAAUGUACAUCUAGAAUUGCUAAGCAAUGAAAUGGUUGUUAAAUAGCACAUUAAUCAUCCAGUUUGAUUAGCAUUCCACUUUUGCCAAUUAACUCCAAUGGUAGAUGUGAUGACCAUCUCCAAGACACAAUGCUAGUUUGAAUGGAUAUAUCAAUAUCUAUUCAUCAGUAGCAUUGACAAAGUAGUUAAUAUAUCUACAUUCUUCUGUAAAAUAUUAGCUUAGGGAGAAACACUAACAUAGAUGAAUAGUGAGGAUUUUUCUCUUACAGUAUUUGACAACAAUAUCUUGGAAAGUCCCGAGAUAAUUAUAAAGCAAUUGCUUUUCUAUAGAAAAUCCUACCUCAACAGUUAGACCUCCUGUAUCUAAUAGGAAUUUAUAAGAUGCACAAAAAUAAUGUGCUAGCUCACAAAGACAGAUGGGUGUGUGUUUUAAGAAAUCACUAUAUACCUAAUGGCUAUCCUUAAAGGGAUACAGAUGCACUGCAAAACGUGGUAGAUGAUUUUUAUGCAAAAGCCAAGUGUUUUAGAGGAGAAACAAAUGCGUAUUAGAUCUGGAUCCAUGCAAGAAUUUGCCAUUAACGUCUUUGACAAAAUAACAACGAUUUAUAUAAGUGAUAUAACCAAAUGUUAUGAGGCAAUACCUUUAGAGGGAGACUAAAGCCUCACUACAACCAUGAUCCAUCUCAUCAAUUUAGCUUUCACAACCACCUCUAAAAGGAUUUAUUUUUAAUUUAGAGAAGAUAAUAAUUUUGAGGUUGAAUGGAAACCUUUAUGCUAUUCAUCAAUUAAGGCUACCAGAAUUGAGCAAAAUAACUUCAUCAUCCAGCAUACAUAUGUCCAUUUGGGUAAUAAAAUUUAGAGACAAAUCUCUAUAAUUCCAAUAGGUUUUUGGGGGGGGGGGGUGUUUUGAAAUGUAUAGUAUGGAUAGUAGGUUAGGCAUGGUUGACCAACUUAAGGCAUAAUUUAGCUCCCAUUUGCAUGUCUGUCCUUGUUCUACGUCCGCUUGGGUCUAAGCCUAAGUUCUAUAUCAUGCUAGUUGGUGGAGUACCUAUAUCCUAACGUUAAGCCACCAGUAUGCUAAAAUAGUGCCAAACUUCGUUUGGCUCCAUUUUGCAUGCUAGUUCUGGCAUUGGGAAGUUGAAUGCUCUAGAACUGUUCUAAGCCGCUCCAUGCUCCUAUCCCUUUGCUCCUGAGGCUAAAUGUUUAUGAGUUUCUUUAUACUCUAAUUUUUUUGCUCCUUGGUUACAAGUUUGGGAGUUUAACUCCAUUCCUUCAUUUAGUGGCCCAUUUGAUCAUAGAGUGUAUGUGAGGUAGUAGACAUUCCCUCAAAACACAAGUUGUAUUUAAAAUUUUAAUGAUUUACAAAAUUCUAUAAUUCACAUCAUGUAUCACAUUUUAUUGCAUUCUUUAUCAUUGUAAAAGCCUUGCUAAGAGUAAUAUUUUGUUUUAUUGGCCUAAUAAAAAAAAUUAACUUAAUAACAACAACAUAGCCUCUAAGCAUGCCAUAUCUCUAGCCAAUGGUUAACACAAAUGGAAGGAGGCAUAUAUGCAUAAAUGCAUGUAGCUAAAUUGAGUGUUUUAGCUAGUUAUGCCUUUAAGCAUAGCCUUUUGGGGGACAAUAUAAUGUUUUUUCUUUUGAUAGGGAUGCCUUUUAAGAAUUUAGAUUAUAGGCUGAGAAGAGUAGUCUUCCAAUUGCAUUAAAGGCAAUCUUGAUUGAAGAAGUAUUGACUCCUAGAAGCUUGGUAGAGCUGUUCUUUCUCCUCCUCCCUUCCAAAGGCAAUGCUUUCAAAUAAUAUUUUGACUGUUUUAGUUUCUUUAUUAACUAAAUCCUAAAAUUUCCCUUUUAUUAUGACUAAAUAGCAUAUUUCAUAUUAUGUAUAUUAGAACUCUUAAUAAAUAAGAAGAAUUAAAUAAGCCCAUCCUUUUAAUUAAGCUUCCAAUUCACAGAACAAUGCUAUUUCCAAUUUAUAUGAAUGACAGAUAAAAGAAUCCUUAAAUAACCACUAGAAGUUAUGGUGAGGGGAAGUGAGGACUUCCAAAGAGAUGAAAGAGCCUCUUUAGCUACAAUUAGAAGACCUUCUUGGUGAAGAGUGCCUCCCAUUAAACACCAUCCUAAUUCACUCUCUCUCCCCUUUCUGGGCAUAUGCACUGAUCAGGAGAUACAAAGAGACAUUGUUUCUCUGCUGAAUCUAAUCAAAGGCUCAGGUGACCCAUGAGGUCAACAAUAGUCAACACCAGUCAAAAUGUGUGGAAUGCUCAAUCAACUAAAGAUUUGGAGAUGCCGGGUGCCUCUCACAUAUGUGGCAUAAUGCCUUCUUUUUGUUUUUUCUCUAGCACACUCCCUCUCCUGUCCAUUGCCGUUGCACACUCCCGCUCGCAGCUAUUGCCCGCCCACCCACUCACCCUCAACUUGCCCACCCUCACAUCUACCUGCGCCUAACGUGUGCCCUAAUUAUUUCCACGUGGCCACAACCCCAACACUUGGCCAAAUUUCAAUUAGCACACCCUGUUCCAUGUGGUUAGUUGCCCCAUAAUUGACCUAAAAAUGUUUCCAUUCACGCCUGCACCUUGUUCCAUGUGGUUAGUUGCCCCAUAAUUGAUCUAAAAACAUUUCUGUUUCUUCUAUGAUGAAGUAUGGUGGUAGCAUAUCAAUUUCCAAAGGUAAGCAAUCAAUUCAACUUCAUAUUGAUUCAAGAAAAUCAUUUAGGAUCCCCUAUGGCUUGAUGAGGUGUAAGAAUUCCAUGAAAAGGAUUAUUUUUAUGUAGAUCAUUUAAAUUGGAAUUUAUCUAAAUCAAAUGAAAUUAGAGCUCCUAUUGUGUAUAUAUUACACAAGGAUGUGAAUAAGUUUCUAAAUGGUGAGAAAAGAAGGGGUGAUAGAGUGGAUUUUUUGGCAAUUUUCCAAGAAAAAUCAUGAUUCUAAAGAUUUAAAAUAACCCAAAAACACAAGCUUUCUAUCAUUAAUUAGUUAUAUUUUUAACAAAAUAUAAUUACUAACUUCUUGGCACAGGUAGUGGUGUAAAUAUAGAAAACAAGAUGCUCGUGAAACAUCCUCUACAAUUGCUAAAUCUACACCAAAGUCAGGACCUAGAAGUGUAAGCAACUAAAUUUUUCUAUUUUACUUUAGUCACUUAACCACUUUUCCGACCACUAGGAGGAGUCUCACUCACAACCUCCAUAAAUUGUAUUAUGGACUUGGGCUUGUUAGCCCUAAGAAUGGCAUCUAUGUCAUUCAACCUUUGCACUUGGUCCAAGUGCUCCAUGUGUCCGAUCCCAUGACCGACCCCCAAGGUACCACCGACAUAUCAGCCCAUUACACUAAAGCCAUGUCCCUUCACCUUGGUCACACCAGUAGUCUAACACCACCUGCAUCACAGUCCCGUCUCUCAAAGACUAGGCCAUCCAUCCAUGAGUGAUCAUCCUAAAUUCACUCCUUAGCAUCCUUAGGAUGCCCACAAGCAUGGGGAAUAGCCUUCCCCAAUAUCCCUUUUUCGGUCCCCACCAAGUCCCUUUCAAUUCAUGGCCAUGUUCGCCAACAUUGCCACUAGAUUAAGGCCCACAGGCCUGACCACUAAGUCCCACGGUCCUCUGGGACUUCCUCUUCACAUAACCAUAUCCUUGGUCUCCACACUAGAGGACUACUCCUCUUCCUUUUCACAGUCUAGGACUUCGGGACAAGCUUUCGGAACACCGUGGCUUUAUGCGAGCCUCAUGGGUACUCUUCCCGCCUUCUGCCUUUGGGUGCUCUAGCCAUGGGCUUAGAGCGAGGUUUCGUUGAGCCACGCCAAAUAUCCAAGUAGGUAAUGCUACCCAUACUUGAAUUGGGAGCAUCAACCAUUCGAUCUCCCAGGGGAACUAAAGCUAGCUCUUGAACACUUCACCAAACUACCGCGCUUGUCAGUUUGUAUUCAUUCUAAUCUUGGACUUCCUAGCAAUCAACUCAUCACCAACACCUGGGUAUAGCCUCUCUAGGCCAAAUUGGCUCCACUGGGCUCUAACCCCCACACACUCUCCCUACUAUUCUUUUGGAACCCCCUACAGCACCCCCCCCCCCCCCCUGGGGAUGAUCGCUUUGGGCUUUCACCCAACUGUCUGUAUUAGUAACUCUAUAGCGAAUGUGACUUCAGGUAUCAAAAGUUACCAGUCGGCCAGUCCUUACGGACAUUCUUUCCUUACUACAACGAUGGCAGGAGGUUAGUAUUGCUGGACCCUUUAUUAGUCCCUCUUAUUCAAGUGUUAGUAAACUGGACUUUGCAUCUGUACUUGGCUGGACGAGUAUAAGGAAGGAAUUCCUAAGUGUCUAUUUAGCCAAACAUACUUGGCCCGGCUUGUUAGUUCUCUUUUGCCCUGUCUUGCAUUGGCUUGACAAGAACCCUCGCAUAUUGAGAUUGGUCCCUCAAUAUUGCUGGAUGAUAACUUAUCGUGUCUGCCAAACACCUUCACUAUCAUGCCCUUUGUGUUAGUCUCAUUCUAGUCCCAAAUGCUAUUUAUGGAAAGUGUCUAGAUUUGCUCAUUUGGCAUAUUUACGGAAUGUAGAGAUUGUCCUGAACACAAUGGUGUUCAUCCCGUGUCCAAAUUCGCAAUCUAGUGCCAUUCCAUAUUUAGUAAGUUUCGAGCUUGUUCUAAAGACUAACUCCUGAUACUAAAGGAGGCUUGGGGUGAAAGCCUAAAGCGUGUGUUCCUCAAAAGGGGGAGGGGGGGGGGGGUCGAGCAGGCCGAGCAUGGAUAGGUCGAGCAUGGCCGACUAACCUGAGGCAUAGUUUAACUCUCGCUUGCAUGUUUGUCCUUGUUCUGCGUCCGGCUUGGGUCUAAGCCUAAGUUCCACACCAUGCUAGCUGGUGGAGUACCCAUGUCCUUGCAUUAGGCCACCGGUAUGCCAAAAUAGUGCCAGACUCCAUUUGGCUCCGUUUUGCAUGCUGGUCCUGGCAUUAGGAUGUUGGUUGCUCCAGGAUUGUUCCAAGUCACUUCGGGCUCUUGUCCCUUUGCUCUUUGGGCUGUAUGCUUAGAGUUGCUUCGUGGACCAAUUCCGUUACUCCUUGGUUCCAUGCUUGGGAGUUUGGCACCAUUCCUUUAUUCAGUGGCCCAAGGCCCUGAACCUCGAGUUCCGCACCACUGUCCUAUGGACAUGUGGCAUAUGACAUGUGGCAUAUGUCACGUGGCAUAAAGAGAGUUUAGGUUCUGCUUCGUGGUGUUUGAAACCAAGUAGGACCAAAUAGAAAUUGGUACAAUAGGUGGGAACCUUAGCAAAGGAACUUAUGGUAAACUACCAUAGGAUAAAGGGUAAAAAUCACGUGUGUUAUAUUUGGUAUUAGAGGAUACGUCUCAGCGAGUGCUAUCUAAUGAGAUUGGGCAACUAAUUUUGUUGCAUACGCAGUGAUGAAAAUGAUGAUCUGAAUGGGUACACAUUUUGGUGUAAAGGCUUCGCAAUCGUUCCUUGGGUAUGGUUUUUGUUACCUUUUUGUACUGUGAUAAUGUGAGCUGGCUCUUGGGCUCAUAGGAUGGAAUGAGCUAUACCGUUUGCACGAGUUUGAGCUUGGGCUUGUGAGUGAGGCACAUUAGUAACUCAAGAUUACACUUUGAGUUGGCAGAAUUAAUGUUAGCUUAUCGGUGGUUCCAUGAGUUGUUCCAUGUACCAUGGGUGAAAGCAAACCUCCCUAGGUUUGCUAUGAGUGGCAAAUAGGCUAGUCCAUAACUGUUUAGCACAGCACUAGUGGAUCCUUUCUAAGCAUGAUUAUAAGUGGAUCAAUCAAGACUAUAAGGAUUAGUCUAUUGGUUCAAGUAGUCAUUGUCGUGCUCUCUCAUAAACUUUUUUUGAAUUGGACUGAAGGCAGUGUGAAGGCAAGCUUGAGGUUUAGUCAAUGUAAAGACCAGAAAGAGGGUCGUCAGGGACGAAGGAUCAAACAUGUAAAUCAUUUUCUCUUCUUGGAGAGAUGAUUUGCAAUGAAGUGUGACUUAUUGCUCAUGUUCACAUUAUGCAAUCAAGAGUCCCUAUCUUGGUGCAUAUUGGAAAUGAUGGUCUUGCAAAUGGUGAGUUAUGGGAUGGAUAGCAGUGAAGCGCUAAACCAUUCUGUCUAGGCUUGCUAUUGGAAGACUUGAGUUACAAUGCUCAAUUCUUUUCCGGGGAACCUUGCUAUUACUUUUGAAUAACUUAGUGUUAGAUUAGUUUUGAGUUUAGUCGAAAAGAGAGUGGCAUGAGCUUGUCCGUGUUGUGAAAAAAAGUUAGUGGUGUUGGGUGUUAUAAGUCUCUGUCGGUGGAGUGUGGCAUUUAUGUUGCAUUUUGUCGAAUUGAGUUGGCACUUGAUGCUCACAUAAACCUUUGAAGUAAUGACAUAGGUGUUGCUCGUAGUGUUACUCAAUUGAUGAUCAAGUCAUUGUGAUUUCUAUAUCAUAUCUAUGUGAUAAUGAGCAAUGUGUUUACGAAGCUGCUUGGUUAAACAAUGAUCAACCCCAAAGUGGUUGAUGGUGAGGCUAGUCUACUUGCAUGAAGUAGCAUUAUAGUAGCUUUGACUGGAUUCUCAAUGGUGGUCCAUUAUGCUAAGUUUAAGUUGGUACUUUGUUUCCUUAAGGGUUUGUCUAUUAGGUGUUAAAAAGGGUUAUAGCAUUCAUUUGCUAUAGCUCGUCGGUUGAUUCGUUAACACUUGGAGUAGAUUGUUGGAUGGAGAAGGUGUGUAGUUAAGGCAUUGACAUCACUAGCACUUGUGUUAGUGAAAGUGGCAUUGUUGAUUUGAGUGAUGAGGAAUUUUCCUUAGAGCUUGAUUUUCCAUGUCAUUUUUUCUUGUUAGUGAUUUUGGCUUCACAUUGGAUCUUGAAAGUGAUUGAAGAAGAGUGUUAGUGCAAUGUGGAUAUCCGAAGAUGUGGUCUUCGUGAUCAAACCUUAGAUGUUCAUUUUGCAUUUGACGGAUGUCGAUGUUAGAUUUGGAAAAAUGGGCAAAGAUAUUCAAGGCUUAAAGCAUACUAUGUGUCAUGAGAAUUGGUGUUGAAGUGAACCUAUGUGAAGUUGUAGGUAGGAGAAAGUUGGUUGAGUCUUGAAAGUUUGUAUUUCUAAACUAAGAGUUAUUCUUUCUCUAGGAUGGAAAAUUUUCCACAAAUUUUCUUAAACUUUUCCAAUGGCUAACCUAUUGAUCACUUUGCUCGAAGACCAUUCCGUUUUCAUAAGCUAGUACAAACUAGUAAAAGUGUUGAAGUUGGCUUCAGUUAGCUUAGACCUUAGUAGGUAGUUUGUAUGAUGCAGCCCAAAAGGGAUGCUAACUUUUUGGGGCUAAUGCAAUUGAGUUGAAUAGAGUCUGAAGUUGGCGUAAAAAAGUGGCUGUUACGCUUUUCUAAGAAAGGUGACCCUUGUGCCUUUCUUCUAUAACGUUGGGUUUGGUGGCAAGUUGCACCUUGCAUUUUGUUAAAACUCUAUGAGAGUAGUGAGCUCUCACUGAUCUUGACUUAGUCUUGGUGGUCCUACACCUUGGCUGAGGAUGGUGAUGUCCAACUUAGUUGUUUGAGGUUGAAAUGUUAGUACCCAUAUUAUAGCUUUGUUUAUGAGGAGGUUGUGUACCGAUGUGAAUCCAUCUCAUGGUCUUCACUUUAGUUUUGACUAAGUGUUAAUCAUAUGUAGCUAGCCUCUUCAAGGCAUGCUCAGAGUUAGUGGCUAAAUGCAUUAGUGAGCUUAUUGCAGUUGAGUUGGAUUCGAGUGGUCAUUUAGUUAUACUUAUCCAUAAAACUUUAUCUCAUACUUGAGGUAUUACGUUCAUAUAGGACAAGUAUAUAACUCGAUGGCAUAAGUUUAGUAUUUGGGUCUUGUGAAGGCAAGUUGAAAAGUGAUUGUUAGUUGCUUUGCGACUAAUGGUUGCUUAUAGAUUUCGUUGAAGACCUCUGAUACUUACUUCGCUCGAUGAUGAUUUAGCGGUGAUGGGCUUACUUUAUCGGAUGGUGUUGCAGAGGAUCAUGUCAUUAGACUUACAUGGGUUUUCCAUGUUGGCAUGUCGACUCUACCUUUGUCAAUAUUGUUUGGUUGUGUUUAAUUCGUAGUGUUGGAUUUCAUUGAGUCUUGGAUGUGGUGAAUCACUUCUUGAUGAUGUGUUAUCUGUAACUGAAUUUUGCUGAAAGAUUGGUCUUAGAUACCGACUAAGGUAUCUUCGACUUUGGUUAGUUUAGUUGCUAGAGAAUUUUAAGUGGUGAUUCACUCUUGCUUUCUUCUAGCUUUGUUCUGGUGUUGAUGGCAUUAAAGUAAUGCCCUAUCAUUGACAUUACUGAUGUUGAAACUCAAGUGUAAUGAGAUGUCUUUUUGAAAGAUUGAUAUCGAAUUUCAUUAGUCUCGAUGAAGAUAUUGUUGAUGAUUUGGCCAUGACUUUGUGUUAUUGGCAUUCAUGCAUUUGCUAGUUAAUAACUAUAUUGAUGUUCAAAUGAACUGAGUGGCAAGUUGAGUUAGUUGUGUUCUAGACAAAAUUAUUUAGUAAGGGUUGAGCUUUGAGCUUUUCCUUGAAAAGUGAUUUAGUCAUGGACUAUGCUAACUUUACAAGAGGAAGAGUUAGUGAUCGAUAUUGAAGAUGUUGGUUCCUUGUUGGAUUUCAGUUGAGAUAUAUCGAUCAUUGAUGAUUUAUGUUGUGCUUGUUAUGAAGUGAAUUACGUCUUGCUAUAGAUGGAUUCAUUGAGGAUCAGUUUAAUAGUCACUUGUUGAGCAUAGCUUUAUUGUGCUUAGCUUUUGGAUUGAUGCAAAUAUGCUCCUCAUUAGCUUUGACAUUACGAAGUUUAGCUUAUAGAUGUGUUGAAGAGGAUGUUAUGGGUUAUACCAUGAUUUCUUCUUUAGUAUUGACGUUAGUUCAUGCAAGACUUGUGAUCAUUAUAGACAAAGACUUAGCUAUAAGCUUUUUCAAGCUUUUGGUUCUUUAAGUUUCAUACUCAUUGUUCCAUUUGUUAGAAGUUGUUAGGGGAAGGCAUUUUAGCUCAUUAACUUCGAUGUUGAAGUUGGCUUUUGCAUCUUGCAAUCAUUGAUGAUGAUUGACUAUCAUCUCAAAUAGUUGAUUAUCUUUGUCAAAAGGUUUUGCUUGAUUGUUAUUGAUACAGAAUGAUUUACUAUUCUUUGGGAUGAUGGAUUUCCUCUUUGACGAUGAUUCUGCAUCUCAUUAUUAAUGGGAUGAUUGAUGAUCUUUCAUAAUGGUUAGUUAUUCUCUUUGAUAGCUUAUAGCUUUUCGCAAUACCACAUGUUGUUUGUGGUUUGCUCUGGAUUGGUCUUUUGGGUUUAAGACAUCAGUAGGAUGUUGCUGACACUUGCUUGAGCAACUCUGAUUCCUUGGGAUUGUUGACCGGGAUUUAUUCAAAUUAGCUAGUGUGAUAGUUGGCAUGAAUGAGUGUUUGUUGGCCAUGCAACAUUCAUUUUAUUCUGUUGAUUAUUGCUCGAGUUAGUUGGGAUGUUAUUUCCUUCGGGUAAUGCAUUUGCGAGCAUUGUGUUUGUCAGUCAAUGAUACUUUGUGUUCCUUGAGUUCUCUUUUGUAAGUUGUUUGGCAUUCUGUCUGCAAUCUUUUAUAGUUAAGCUUUAUCAUUGAGUUUCCUUGAUGAUAUACUUACUAUUGAAUUUUGUUGGAUAGUGAUUCCUAUGUUUACCAAUUAUGAUGAUCUUGGUGGUUCCUAUCCUAAUAUUGGUUUAUCAGAUGAUAACUUACUUGGAAUACUAUUGUGUUCUAAAUAAGAUUUAUUCCCUGAUAAUUAAGUCUCUAAGAUAUCAUUGUCUAUGACUUUGAUAUUGUCCAUCUAUUGAUCUUUGAGUUUGGGCUAGUAUAAGUAGACUGGCUUCUGUCAAGACCCCCAACAAGAUCAAGACUAGAAAAUGCAAAAGACAAAGAGAAAAACUAGUGGAAAAAAAGAAGAGGCCUUAGACUGGCGUUGAUUCAAAUUGUGGAGAAAUGGAACAAGGCUAACCUAUAUAUACUAUAGGUUGAUGAAGCUCCACCACUCUUGGAUCGAGGACAGCUUAAAUAUAGUUGAGGUCGAGGAGGCGCCACAUCAAUAUCAGGAAUGUGGCUUGAGACUCAGGAAUUGUACAGGAAAUCAGAGAGUCAGGAAUAGGGAAGUGUCUCGAGAGUUAGGAAUAGGGAAGUGUCUCGAGAGUCAGGAAUAGGGAAGUGUCUCAAGAAUCAGGAAUGUGGUCUGCAGGUCAGGAAUCCGGUGAGAGUUAGGAAUGUGGCAAGAAUUGGGGGAUUCCUGACAGCACCCCCUCCUCAAGAACGAGUGGAAUGAGGAUGUGAAUAAGAAUGAUGAGGAGGAUGAGAUGAGCGGCGAGGGAUGGGAGAUGGAGAAAAAGAAUGAGGACUGGGACGAGAAGGAUAGCGCCGGUGGAAGUCCUGAACAAGGUCAGGAGAAUGAAUCAGGUUGUCCACAAGUUCCCAAGUGCGUUCUUCAGGUCCGUAACCCUUCCAGUCGGCUAGAUAGUAGAGUUUAGACCGUGAAAUCUUGGAAUCAAGGAUGUCCUGAACCUCGUACUCAGACCCAUCCUCGAGCUGCACUGGUGGAGGUGGAGGAAUGACCUGAUUGGGAAUAGGACUAGGAAUAUAAAGCUCAAGGAGAGAGGAGUGAAAAACAGGGUGAAUUUGAUAUGAGGAGGGAAGUGCAAGGCGAUAAGUGACAGGAUUAAUGAUGGCAGUGAUAGGGAAAGGACCGAGGCAUUUGAAAUCAAGUUUUGACAGGGCCUGGUGGUGGAGAUAUUUCGCCUGAGGAGCUAGACUUUAUCCCUGAUAUUGUAAGGGGGACAAUCUUGACGAUGGACAUUGGCAAAUAUUUUGUGAGAUUCUUGAGCACGAUGGAGGUGGAAGGAGAUGGAGUUGUGGAUUUCCUGGAGGUUGGAGACAAAUGCCUUAGAGUGGGGACUUGAACGAGAGGAUUCGGAUGGAGAAGGAAGUGAGAGAUUGAAUUGAGGAUUUUGGCCAGAGUUUGCAAAGAAGGGGGAAAUUCGAAGAGAGGAGUGAACAGAGUUGUUAUAGGAGAACUCAGCAAGGGGAAGGAUAUCGAACCAGUUAUCCUGAUGAUAGUUGAUGAAGCAUCUCAAGAAUUGUUCCAACGUCUGAAUCGUUCGCUCGGAUUGCCCAUCAGUUUGAGGAUGAUAUGCCGAAAAGAGGUUGGCCUUCACUCCAAGCAGCUGCAAAAACCGUUGCCAGAAAUGAGAGAUGAACUGAGGCCACCGAUCCAAAACCACAUCUGUAGGAAUCCCAUGAAGUCGGAAAAUUUCCCUAAAUACCAGUUUUGCCAUGUCCUUGCCCGAAAACUCCUUGGUACAUGGCAAGAAGUGCGCCAUCUUUGUGAAGCGAUCCACCACGACUAAAAUGCUGUUGAAGCCUCCAGAACUCGGAAGAUCACUCAAGAAAUCCAUGGAGAUGGAUUCUCAAGGACCUGAAGGGACCGGAAGGGAAUGAAGCAAACCUGAAGGAAGGUGGCGAGGUACCUUAUUCUGGGCACAAGUGUCACAGGAGGUAACAAAAGCUUUGAUGUAAUCGUCCAUGUGAGGCCACCAAAAGUCCCUUGCAACUAGCUCAUAGGUUUUCGCAAUGCCGAAGUGACCAGCAGUCGGGCUAUCGUGGCACGCCAUCAGGACCAACCUUUGAGCAUCACCUUCAGGAACAUAAAGCUACUCCCCACGGUACAAUAAGCCAUCUAAGAACUUGGACUCAUCAAAUCGCCGACAGUCGAGAGUCACUGGGUGUCCAGCCUGAAAAUGGGGAAAAAUGUCACUGGCGAGAUCAUCAGAUUGAAGAUCGUUUCUGAUUGCAUCCAUCAAGGAGGAGUCCUGAGGGGCCAGGGAAAUUGCCAUAACUUGAAGCCGAUCAGGACCGAGGAUAACUUGAUCCUAUUGAUCGAAGGCAGGAUUACCAGGCCUGAGACUGAGAUAGGAGCGCCUUGAAAGAGCAUCAGGAAGGCCUUGAAGCUUUCCAGGUCUGUACUUGAUAACAAAGUCAAACCGACUCAGGAAUUGUGCCCACCUUGCUUGACGACGGCUUAAAACUCGGGAAGUGGCAAAGUACUUGAGAUUUUUGUGAUCCGUCUAGACUGUUGUUUGAUGGCCUGCCCCCUCCAAGAAACGGCGCCACUCUCCAAAGGAAUCCACGAUAGCAAGGAGCUCCUUGUCGUGGAUUUCAUAAUUGAUCUCCGCAGGUUAGAAUUUCCGAGAAUGAAAGCGACCAGAUGAAGUUCUUGAUCUGCUCUGAGUUGAGACAGCACAGCACUGAUGGCAAAGUCAGAGGCGUCAGACUCAAUGAAGAAAGGUUGUGAGGAAUCAACAUGGAUCAAAACGGGAGCAGAACUGAAGGCUGCCUUGAGUGUGUCGAAGGUGUGCUAGGCAGCAGCAGACCAAGAGAAGGGAACAUCCUUGCAAGUGAGAUGCGUGAGAAGAAGGACAAUGUCAGAAUAGUGAUCAAUGAAUUUGCGGUAAAAAUUGGCGAAGCCAAGGAAAACCUGAACUUCCGACAUUGAUUGUGGAGGCUCCCACUCGAGAAUAGUCUUGACUUUGGUAGGAUCCAUCAUGAUACCCUCAGGAGUGACAAUGUACCUAAGGAACUCCACAUACUGCUGAUCGAAGGAACAUUUCUCAAGCUUCGCGUAUAGGCCGUAUUCUCGUAGCUUCGCCAGCACCUUGCGUACAUGUUUGUCGUGCUCCUUCUGAGUUUUUGAGUAGAUGAGGAUGUCAUCGAGGUAGACGAUCACCAUCUGAUCAAGAAACUCCCGAAAGACGUCGUUCACCAUGUGUUGGAAAACUGCUAGAGCAUUUGUCAAGCCAAAUGGCAUGACAGUGUACUCGAAGUGGCCAUAGCGGGUUCGGAAUGCAGUCUUCCAUUCAUCACUAGGCCGAAUCCGGAUCAGGUUGUAUGCACCACAGAGGUCAAUCUUGGUGAAGAAGUGGGCACUGCCGAGGCGUUCCAACAGAUCCGAGAUCAAGGGCAACAGAUAACAGUUCCAAACAGUCACCUUGUUCAAACCUCGGUAAUCGAUGACUAGCCACAAACUCCCAUCCUUCUUCUUGACAAAGAAGACAAGCGCUCCAGCCGGGGACUACAAAUGCUGAAUGUACCCCGAGGCAAGGUUCUCAUCCACAUACUCUUUGAGGGCCUUAAGCUCGAAUGGGGAUAACCCGUAGAUAGGCCCCCACGGAGGUGAUGCUCCUUCCUGUAAAUCAAUGGGACAGUCAUAAGGUCGAUGAAUAGGCAGUACACUAGCUUUUUUCUUGUCAAACACAUCCCCAAAAUCAUAAUACUUCUCAGGAAGACUGACAGGAAAAACAUGCAAAGCAAAAAGGAAAAUAAGUUCUUCAUGAAGGAGUUCUUUCAUAGUGAUUGUGGAGAUAAGAGGAGGUGUAUGACUAAAUGGAAUGAUGAGACGAGGAUACUAUCUAGUGUAAGAUGGAAGAGAGGAAAAAGAAGAGGGUGAAAGCUUCAUAGAGUUAGGAACAGAACCCCGAUUUGAGUUUAGGGAACUUUUUCUGAUUCGGACUCGAUGAAUAGCAGGGGAAGCCGUGGGAGAUGGUGAUGUGGGAGAGAUGAGCUGUAAUUCCUUCCAAAAAAUUUGAGGCUGAUGUAGUUGGAACCAAGGAAGACUGAGCACCACAGAGGAGGACUUGCUAUUGAUGAUGUUGAAGGCGAUAUCGGUGACGGUAGACCUGAUGUGUACUCGAAUGGGCAACGUAUCCCUAAGUCCAUAAGAUGGAGACACAAAAUGCCCGCCGAUGCCUUCAACCCUCAGAUCCUAUAUGGUAGGAGAAAGAGGAACGUGAUGUCGGGCAGAAAAGGCCAUGUCCAUGAAGCAGGAAGUUGCACCCGAGUCCAGUAGCGCCAGAGCCUUGAGUCCUGAUUGUCCGGUGAAAGAAAGGAGACAUGGGACGCGGAAGUUGCGGGAAUUGGUGGUGGCUUUGAUGAAAGGUGGUCAGAAGCUUGAUAAAGAAGAAAAGUGAUUUUUAUUCGGGGAGUCCAAAUAGACAGCUCCUACUCUGUUUGGACAGGGUCGUUUCCCGACUGCAACUGAGGUGGACUUUGAGGCAGAGUGAACUCGAGCAAUCAGGGAGGCUUCUUGGGACACACAGCUGCUUUGUGAUUAGGAUCAGCAUAGUAGAGGCAAAGAUUAUCAGAUAUUCGACGUUGCUUCUCAGCAGGACUCAACUUCCCUCUAAUGAGUCGGGGAGUACCAGAAAUAUCCAUCGAGACUGGAGCAGUAGGUUCAGGAGUAUGCCCCGAAGACUCAAGUUGGGAUUCCUGAGUCUGGGACAGAAAAACAGCGGUGCAGCGACUUUCCUGACGACGUUCAAAGAGACGAUUGUCACAUCGAACAGCUUUGUUGAUGGCGUCUGACAGGUCCUUGGGAUCCUCGAUGGUGAGCAACAAAUCCUUGACACUGUUGUUGAGGCCGAAACAAAAUUGGUCAAUCAGGGCCCGCUCAUCCCACUGAGUGUCCAAGGCAAGGAGUUGGAACUCUGCAGCGUAGACCGAGGCAAGACGAGACCCCUGAGAGAGACGUCUCAUCUUUGUGGUAGCAGCCCGAACCCGAUCAGUCUCACCAAAACAUGCUUCGAGCUUCUCUUUGAACAAUUGAAGAUCCAUCAGCUCCGAAACCACGACCCCUUUCAUGCUCUUCUCCAGAAGAGGAGAAAACCAUGACAAAGCUGCACCUUCGAGCAACAUCCCGAUCAUGCUGAUUUGAGACUUGGGAGUGGGGUACCGUCGAUGUUGAAGUGCGAAGAUUAGCUCCAUCUGGUUCAGGAAUCCGUGAAGCUCCAAACAUUUGCCUGGGAACUUUGCUAGGAAACUCACCUUCGGUUCAAGAACUUUGCUGGAUCCUUGGGCCAAAAGUGAAGCAAGCUCCUGCUGCAUGCGAAGAAGGGUCGCCUUCAGCUUGGUAUUCUCAGACUGGAUUUUUGCAAGGACUUCGGCAAAGAAAUUAGGAUGGCUUGGAGACUCCAUCGGCAAAAAGAAAGAAAAAAAGGGGGAAAAAGACAAAGGCAAUCAAACAAUCGAAACGAGCUAAAGCAAAAGUAAAAAGAAAAAUCUGAAUCAAACUGUCAAGACCCCUAACAAGAUCAAGAUUGGAAAAUGCAAAAGACAAAGAGAAAAGCUAGUGGAAGAAAAGAAGAGGCCUUAGACUGGCGUUGAUUCAAAUUGUGGAGAAAUGGAACAAGGCUAACCUAUAUAUACUAUAGGUUGAUGAAGCUCCACCACUCUUGGAUCGAGGACGGCCUAAAUAUAAUUGAGGUCGAGGAGGCGCCACAUCAAUAUCAGGAAUGUGGCUCGAGACUCAGGAAUCGUACAAGAAAUUAGAGAGUCAGGAAUAGGGAAGUGUCUCAAGAGUUAGAAAUAGGGAAGUGUCUCGAGAGUCAGGAAUAGGGAAGUGUCUCGAGAAUCAAGAAUGUGGUCUGCAAGUCAGGAAUCCGGCGAGAGUCAAGAAUGUGGCAAGAAUUGGGGGAUUCUUGACAGCUUCGGCACUUCGUGUGCAUGGUGAAAUCUUUAGUCAUGGGGUAGCUAUUGUUGACUGGUUAUAUCACCCGUCUCUCUGUCGAUGUUCCUUAUUCCAUUAAAAGGGCGUGACCGUGUAAACAACUCUAAUUGCCUGUUUAUAGUAGUUUAUCUAAACCUUACCAACAGGUUUGGUUUCUUUGCUCAUGAGGGUUGGGGCCUUUAGCUUCUCUCUCUAUGUUCCUGCAGGUAGGGGUGUAUCACAUUUUUGUAAGUUGGGUGACACCCAGAGCAGCAAGGGUGGCUGACUCUGUUGGUUAUUUCCUUGUCGGCGACGGCCGGAAGGUGUCUGAGCUGGUAGCGCAUCCGCGUUAGACAAAGAGGUUACCUCCUAGCUCAUUUAAGUUGGUGCAAUUCUUACAUAGUGUGAAUACCGUGAACUUUUUCUGGAGUUGUUUCCUUGGCAGUAUUCUAGACUUGAGUAUGCAUCGACGAGGACGUCAAUCUUCCCUAGGGGGGGAGAGUGUUGCGAAUGUGACUUCGGGUAUUGAAAGUUAUCUGUUGGCUAGUCCUUAUGGACAUUCUUUCCUUACUACCAUGAUGGCAGGAGACCGGUAUUGCUGGUUCCCUUUAUCAACCCCUCUUGUUCAAGUGUUAGUAAACUGGGCUUAACACCUAUACUUAGCCAGAUGGACAUAAGGUAGGAACUUCUAUGUGUUUCUAGCUGAGCAUACUCGGCCUGACUCUUAGUUCUCUUUUGCUCUGUUUUGCACUGGCUUGACAAGAACCCUCACAUAUUGAGAUUAGUCCCUCAAUAUUGCUGGAUGAUAGUUUACCAUGUCUGCCAAACACCCUCGUUGUCAUGCCCUUUGUGUUAGUCUCAUUUCGGUCCCAAAUGCUAUUUAUGGAAAGUGUUAGAUUUGCUCAUUUGGCACAUCUACGGAAUGUAGAGAUUGUCCUAAACACAAUGGUGUUCGUCCCAUGUCCAAAUUCACAAUCUAGUGCCAUUCCAUAUUUAGUAAGUUUUGAGCUUGUCCCAAAGACUAACUCCUAAUACUGUUCCUCAAGGGGGGGGGGGCCUGUGGGGGGUUCCAAAUGUAUAGUAGGGAUAGUGGGUAGGUCGGUGUUUGUCCUUGUUCUACGUUUGGCUUGGGUCUAAGCCCAAGUUGCAUUCUAUGCUAGCUGGUGGAGUACCCAUGUCCUCACGUUAGGCCACCAAUAUGCCAAAAUAGCGCCAGACUCCAUUUAGCUUCAUCUUGUGUCCUGGUCCUGGCAUUGGGAUGCUAGUUGCUCCAGGACUAUUCCAAGUCGCUCCAGGCUCCUGUCCCUUUGCUCCUUGGGCUGUAUGCUCGGGAGUUGCUUCGUGGACCGGUUCCAUCACUCCUUGGCUCCAUGCUUGGGAGUUUGGCACCGUUCUUUCGUUCAAUGGCCCAAGGCCUUGAACCUCAAGUUCCACACCACUGUCCUAUGGACACGUGGCAUAUGACACGUGGCAUAAAGUGGGUUUAGGUUCCGCUUUGUGGUGUUAUCCUAUAGCAAACCACCAUAGGAUAAAUGGUAAAAAUCACGUGCACUACAUUGAGUCUUGAAAGUUUGCAUUCCUCGACUGAGAGUCAUUCUUUCUCUAGGAUGGAAAAUUUUCCACAAAUUUUCUUAGACUUUUCCAAUGGUUGAUCUGUUGGUCACUUUGCUCAAAAACCAUUUCGUUUUCGUAAGCCAGUACAAACUAGUGAAGGGGUUGGAGUUGACUUUGGUUAGCAUAAACCUUAGUAGGUAGUUUGUAUAAUACGGCCCAAAAGGGAUGCUGAUUUUUGGGGCUAAGGCAAUUGAGUUGGAUAGAGUCUGAAGUUGGUGUAAAAAAGUGUCUGUUGCACUUUUCUAGAAAGGUGACACUUGUGCCUUUCUUCUGUAGUGUUAUGUUUGGUGGCAGGUUGCACCUUGCAUUUCGUUACACUCUAUGAGAGUAGUGAGCUCUCACUGAUCUUGAUUUGGUCUUGGUAGCUUUGCGCCUUUGCUGAGGAUGGUGAUGUUCAACUUAGUUGUUUGAGGUUGAGAUGUUGGUACCCAUACUGAGGUGGAGUCUGAGACGGAGUCUGAGAUGGGCCGAGACGGAGUCCGAGAUGGAGUCCGAGAUGGACCCGAGAUGGAAUCCGAGAUGGAAUCCGAGAUGGAGUCUGAGAUGGACCCAAGAUGGGGUCCGAGGUCGAGACCGAGACUGGGACCGAGACCGAGACCGGGACCAAGACCGGGACCGAGACCGAGACCGAGACCGCGAUCGAGACCGAGACCGAGACCGCGAUCGAGACCGAGACCGAGACCGGGGCCGAGGCCGAGAUCGAGCCCGAGCCCGAGCCCGAGCCCGAGCCCGAGCCCGAGUCCGAGUCCGAGUUCGAGUUCGAGUUCGAGUCUAAGAGGGUGAAAGCCCAAAGCAUUCAUCUCCCAGACCCUGGGGGGUUUGGUGAGCUCCAAAAGUAUAGUAGAGAGAGGACUACAGUGGAGCCAAUUUGGCCAGGAAAGGCCAGUUUGGCCCAGGAAGGCUGUACCCAGGUGUUGGGUGGUGAGCUGCCCACUGGGAAGUCCAAGACUAGAGUGAACAUGGACUGACAAGUGGGGUAGCUUGGUGAAGUGUUCAAGAGCCGGCUCUAGUUCCCCCGGGAGAUCAACUGGCCGAUGCUCCCAGUCCAAGUGUGGGUGGCACUACCUACUUGGAUACCUAGUGUGGCUCAACGGAACCUUGCUCUAAGCCCAUGGCUAGAGCACCCAAAGGCAGAAGGCGAGGAGAGUACCCAUGAGGCCUACGUAUGGCCACGAUGUUCCGAAAUGUUGUCCCAAAGGCCCAGACUGUGGAAAGGAAGAGGAGUAGUCCUCUGGAGUAGAGACCAAGGAUACAACCGUGUGGUGAGGAAGUCCCAGAGGACAGUUGGAUUUAGUGGUCGGGCUUGUGGGCCUUGAUCUAGUGGCAGUGUUCGCGAACACAGCCAUAAAGGGAAAGGGACUUGGUGGGGACCGGAAAAAAGAUAUUGGGGAAGGCUAUUCCCCAUAUCUGAGGGCAUCCUAAGGAUGCUAAGGGGUGGAUCUGGGAUGAUCCCUCGUGGACGGAUGGCCUAGCCUUUGAAAGACGGGAUUGUAAUGUAGGUGGUAUUGGACCACCGAUGUGACCAAGGUGAAUAGGCAUGGCCUAGCGUAACGGGUUGGUGUAUCAGUGGUACCUUGGGGUGUCAGUCAAGGGAUCAGACAUGUGGAGCACUUGGACCAAGUGCAAAGGUUGAGUGGCAUGGAUGCCAUUCUCGGGGAUAGCAAGCCCCAAGUCCGGAAUAGGAUUUAUGGACGUUGUGAGUGAGACUCCUCUAAGUGGUCGGAGGUGUGGUUAAGUGACUAAAGUAGAAUGGAAAAAUUAGUCGCUUACAACUUGGUAUCGGAGCUGUUCCUUAGUUCGACUCUUAUUGGUGGCCAAGUAUAUCACCACUUGUAUUGGAAUUGGAAAGUCCUAGGUAUGGACCUAUCCUCGAGGAGUAGCAUAUCAAGAGGAUAUAGCUCUCCACUCGAGUUCAUGCGUGAACUUGUGCGUAAUGUGGUGGAUGGAAAAGGGCCAGUAAGGGAACUACUUUGGGAUCUUGGGAACAGUAUAAGGUUUCCUCAGAGAGUUGAGGAUGUGAUCCAGAUGAGCGUUUGACGCAGCAAACGGGCUAAAGUAGUUGUGAUAAACAACUAUAGUUGGGAUCACGGGAAAAAUACAGACUCCAAAACGAUAAAGGAGUCACAAAAUUACCCUCAUAUAGUUGAGGCUGAUGCUCAUAAAUUUGAGACUAGAAUUGAUGACCGUGGGAGGUCAAAUACGGAAGAGGACACAAGUCCUUGAAAUGGUAGCUAGGGCUACCUUUAAUAAAUGUUGGAACAACCCAAGGAGUGGGGGGUGUACUUAGAAGAUGAGUUGGUAUUCUCGUCACGUGGACAAGUGGUCAUAAGGGGCAAAAGGUUGCCUCUAGAGAACAAAUCAAGUGUCGGAGUAACACUUGCAAAGAUGGUCUUUCCGAGUAGGACAUGAAUACAAGGAGUUGUAUUCCAGUGAGCUAGCACCUCAAAAGUAGGACCUCAUAAGUCCUCGGAUUAGCAAAGUCCAAAAAGAUGAAUGACUCCAAUAAAGUCAAGGAAUAAUCCUAAGGGAUUGAUGGAAGCAUUUGGACUGAGGUGUGUGGUGCCCCACGAAGGAUGGGGAGGAUCUUGAGAUCCAAGCAUGAGAACCGUGUGUAUCUCAUUGAUGGCAGAAGGUGCCAUGCUAAAGUCGUGGGAAAGAGUUUCUCGGAAGAAAACAACUUUGACACAAAGUUGUGCAUAAACUCUAUGGUGCAGUGCUAAUGGAUAAGUGGCAUAAGAGACAACUAUAUUGGUCUUGGCAAAAAGACCUAGACACAAGUAAGAAGUGUCAUAAAGGUAGGCUCGUGGAGCCAAUGGUGUGGAGACACCGUUGGUGGGUUCAUGAAAACCCUAUCCAAAGGAAUUCCAAUGGAAAUGGGAAUGGCAUAGCCUAAGCUAGAAGGCAUGCGGUUAGAGUGUGGUGACCCAGAUAAUAAUGGAGGUGUGGAAGCACCAGCAAUGAGUUGUAGGACUUGACAACUAUGAGGCAACUAAGCAAAAAGUGCAAAAUAAUUCGUUAAACUGGUAGAAGGCAACUACCUAAGACUUCUUAUUAGGAUAAGGAAGUUAAAUAUACCCUUAUGAGGGAUAAAUUGCUUAUGUUGCAAUAUAAUAAGUCAAUGUCAAAAGGAGAAUAUUCAUUGUCAAAGAGACCAUCAUUGAGACACCCAAACACUCUAGAACACUAGAAGGUGGUGUUUGGUGUUAUGAGGGCAAUGAAUAAGGCCCAAGGGACUAAGUCCUUAGUGAAUGAUGGAUAGGAAAUGCCAUCCAAAUGUCCAAGGUUGUGGAGACGGGAGGAAUCUGUCUACCCGAUUUGGACAAAGCCAAAAAUGGGAUUUUGGCAAAGCUAGUGAUGGGCAUAUCGAGACCCAUAAGUAGCAACGAUAAUUUCGGUGUGUGGGAUUAUAAGGUGAGCAUGCCUAAAUUGAGGAACCACUCCCUAAACUAUUAGGUAAGUUCAUCCCUAUAAAUACUUGCUAAGGCAUGGUAAAAUGUGCAAAGCUAUCCUCCUAGUCUGGAGGAGAAUAACCAAAGGAAAUAUAUGGGGCUAAAAGGCAAGUAGUAUUGGGAUGGAACUGAACCAUAGAAUCGAAGGGCAUAACCAACGGUGGUUAUGUAAGUUAAGAGUGGAGAAUCAAGAGGGUGCUCGAGGAUGUUGUUACUAGCAACCGCAAUGCCAUGGAGAGUCUAGAAUAUGGAAUUAUCCAUGUUGGACCAUAUGGUGAGUAGGGAGCUUGCAAAGGAGAAGCCUUAGCAAGCUAAAGGACAGAGUUCUUAGAAGGUUCUCGAAGACAAUCCUAGGUAGAUAAGUACCUAGUCAGCCAAGUGUAAAUGGUUUAUAGAAUGCACGAAAUCAGAGUGGCGCAGCAGAAGCAUGGUCUUGAAGCUUGUCAUGAAGCGAGGCUAUCAAGGUUGGGGAAGUAGUUCCCGAGUGUUCAAAGAGAGGGCUUUGAACAAAAAUCAAUGGUUAAGGACUUUCACACUUAUGCAUGAACCAUGUUACAGUGGCCGGAUGACUUGCUAAGUGAGAUUGGCAAGUCGGGGGAACGAAUACCCUAGUUAAAGGAGCCAACUUCAAAGGGUGGCCCAUGGGGCCGAGCAUGGAGGAGUCCAUGCAUGAUCACAGACAUGUCAAGUGAGAGGACUUGGCAGUGUGGAGGAACUAGGUUCCUAAGUUGUGAUCUGUAGCACACUUUAAAUAUAAGUUGGUGCACCGGCGUGGGGAGUCAUACCAGGCAUCCUGUGUGAUGCCGUCUGUAGAUGCAUAUACGGAGGUUGGGUUCAAGUCCCGACCCUCUAGUGCUUGGGUUUGAGUCCCAAAUCACUAGGGCGUGGUGAUGGUUUGGAAUAUGAGGACACUCAUUUUUCAGUGGUCAUGGACUCUCAGUGAGGAGAUUGGUUUGGGCACACCGCCAAGCGAGGGAUGCCUCGGAGUUGUGAUGCACAAUUGGAUUGCUUAGUGUGGCUCGGUAUAUUUAACUUGAACACUUGGUGCGAGUGGCACCAAGGACGUGGUGAAUGAGAUAGGGACACCCAGUCUCAGUUGUUAUGGACCCUUGGCUGAAAGGGCUAGCUUGGGUGCACCGCCAAGUGUGGGGGAUGCCCCCGAGGUCAUGGUGAACAACUUAAAGGUUUGGAAGACUUAAUACCUAUUGGCAAACCGGUUAAGGUGCCAAUGUGUGAUCACUAGGUGAUCUUAUGGCUAAAAACAAGGACAAAGUCCUUGUGAGGUUAAGGGAUAAAGUUCCUAGUUCAAAGUGUUGGUUUGAACUAUUGAUGAUGGUGUGGCUUAGUCAAGGUGACCAAGUGGGAAGGACACCUUAGGGAAAUGAUUUGUGACUAUGCGAUGGCAUAGUGAGUCCGAAGAAAGUAGUCUCUAUAAGAGACCCAUGGGAGGGUCACAAAGUUGGGCCAGGGAUAGAGCCCACAGUAGAAAAUCCUAAAGAGACGUACUAGGGGUGAACACCCUCUGGACUUGGCAAAGCAAAAGUCUUUGCUAUGGAACCGAAGGAUACCUCGAGAACAGAGAUAGUGAUCCGAUGUUGCUAGGUGUAGCAAUCAAGGAUAGGAGCAAAAGACUAGUGGCUAAGUAAAGAGCCAUGGGAAUCAUGGGAAAGAAUCCAAAUGACAAAGUUAGGCCAACAACACUAAGGUGUUAGGCGCUGACGAAUUGUGGGAAAGACAAUGUGUUUCUAAGGAUGGAUUCCCAACUGCUCCGAUUUAGCGAAAGUGGAAGCUCCAAGGGAGGGAGCAGUAAGGUAGCCAAAUGAUGGGGCCAUGGACAACUCUAGCACAAAGUAUGAUAACUGGAACUUAGUGCCCAAGAUGGCACAAAAUAAAAGAAAGGAUGAUGGUGCUCUCAAGUAGAGAACUUCUUAGGAUGGGGAAGUGGAGUUGUACAAUAUGUGCAAUACAAGGUGUCGGAGACACCUAGGAAAUUGACUCUGAGAAGUCAAAAUUAAAAGUUCCAAAGUGCAAAGGUUAUGUCGAUGGGAUUUGAGACUACUCAAGAAUGAGUAGUGGAAUUGAGUUAGAGACGGUGUCUUUAAUGGGUUUAGCAAAAAUUGAAUCAAUAAAAGGGAGCAAACCACCCUAGAUGGUCGAAUGAGUCUCUAUAUUGGAAAGACUAUGCUCCUUAGAGGAUGGACAAGGCAUGGUGAGCCUUCGGUAUCAAACCAUAGACAAAUAUUGACUGGGUGCCAAGGAUGGAAAUGGUAACACGUGCGGGUGCUACUUUAUGAAAGGGUUUACCAUUCAAUGAAGACAUCGAACUUCGUCUAUGGGUGGUGGAGUUGUGAGACACAAAAUCCCUAUGCCCCAAAGUGGAACUGGAAGGGCGCCACGUGGUAGUGGCUGAAAAGGAAAGCCAGACGAGUGUAACACAUUUGGACUAAAAGCUUCAACUUGAAAGGCCGAGAGCGGGAGUGAAACUCCCAACAAAGUGCUUGAGGAAUGAGCACAAAGCGAGCAAUAAGCGAGGCUCUAAAAAGGGACCCAAAAGGACCAACGCAUGCCACGUGGAAGUGUCUGAGACGGACCCGAGACGGAGUCCGAGAUGGAGUCCAAGAUGGAGUCCAAGAUGGACCAAGAUGGAGUCCAAGAUGGAGUCUGAGAUGGAGUCCAAGAUGGAGUCCGAGAUGGACCAAGAUGGAGUCCGAGAUGGACCAAAAUGGAGUCCGAGAUGGACCGAGAUGGAGUCUGAGAUGGAGUCCGAGAUAGACCGAGUUGGAGUCUGAGAUGGAGUCUGAGAUAGACUGAGACGGAGUCCGAGAUGGAUCCGAGAUGGAUCCGAGAUGGAUCCGAGAUGGAGUCCAAGAUGGAGUCCGAGAUGGACCCGAGAUAGAGUCCGAGAUGGACCGAGAUGGAGUCCGAGAUGGACCGAGAUGGAGUCCGAGAUGGACCCGAGAUGGAAUCCGAGAUGGAGUCUGAGAUGGACCCAAGAUGGGGUCUGAGGUCGAGACCGAGACUGGGACCGAGACCGAGACCGCGAUCGGGACCGAGACUGAGACCGGGACCGAGACCGAGACCGGGGCCGAGGCCGAGACCGAGCCCGAGCCUGAGUCCCAGUCCGAGUCCAAGUCCGAGUCCGAGUUUGAGUCUAAGAGGGUGAAAGCCCAAAGCAUUCGUCUCCCAGACCCUGAGGGGUUUGGUGAGCUCCAAAAGUAUAGUGGGGGGAAGACUGUAGUGGAGCCAAUUUGGCCAGGAAAAGCCAGUUUGGCCCAAGAAGGCUGUACCCAGUGUUGGGUGAUGAGCUGCCCACUGGGAAGUCCAAGACUAGAGUGAACACGGACCGACAAGCAGAGUAGCUUGGUGAAGUGUUCAAGAGCCUGCUCUAGUUCCCUUGGGAGAUCGAUUGGCCGAUGCUCCCAGUCCAAGUGUGGGUGGCACUACCUACUUGGAUACCUAGUGUGGCUCAACGGAACCUCGCUCUAAGCCCAUGGCUAGAGCACCCAAAGGCAGAAGGUGAGGAGAGUACCCAUGAAGCUUGCGUAUAGCCACGGUGUUCCGAAAUGUUGUCCCAAAGGCCCAGACUGUGGAAAAGAAGAGGAGUAGUCCUCUGGAGUAGAGACCAAGGAUACAGUCGUGUGGUGAGGAAGUCCCAGAGUACAGUUGGAUUUAGUGGUCGGGCUUGUGGGCCUUGAUUUAGUGGCAGUGUUGGCGAACACAACCAUAAAUGGAAAAGGACUUGGUGGGGACCGGAAAAAAGAUAUUGGGGAAGGCUAUUCCCCAUAUCUGAGGGCAUCCUAAGGAUGCUAAGGGGUGGAUCUGGGAUGAUCCCUCAUGGACGGAUGGCCUAACCUUUGAAAGACGGGAUUGUAAUGCAGGUGGUAUUGGACCACCGAUGUGACUAAGGUGAAUGGGCAUGGCCUAGCGUAAUGGGCUGGUGUAUCAGUGGUACCUUGGAGUGUCGGUCAAGGGAUCGGACAUGUGGAGCACUUGGACCAAGUGCAAAGGUUGAGUGGCAUGGAUGCCAUUCUCAAGGAUAACAAGCCCCAAGUCCGGAAUAGGACUUAUGGAGGUUGUAAGUGAGACUCCUCUAAGUGGUCGGAGGUGUGGUUAAGUGACUAAAGUAGAAUGGAAAAAUUAGUCGCUUACAAUUGAGUGGCAAAUUGAGUUAGUUGUGUUCUAGACAAGAUUAUUUAGUAGGGGUUGAGUUUUGAGCUUUUCUUUGAAAAGUGAUUUAGUCAUGGACUAUGCUAACUUUACAAGAGGUAGAGUUAGUGAUCAAUAUUGAAGAUGUUGGUUCCUUGUUGGAUUUCAGUUGAGAUAUAUCAAUCAUUGAUGAUUUAUCUUGUGCUUAUUAUGAAGUGAGUUACGUCUUGCUAUAGAUUUAUUCAUUGAGGAUUUAUCUUGUGCUUAUUAUGAAGUGAGUUACGUCUUGCUAUAGAUUUAUUCAUUGAGGAUCGGUUUAAUAGUCACUUGUUGAGCAUAGUUUCAUUGUGCUUAGCUUUUGGAUUGAUGCAAAUAUGCUCCUCAUUAGCUUUGACAUUACGAAGUUUAGCUUAUGGAUGUGUUGAGGAGGAUAUUAUGGGUUAUACCAUGAUUUCUUCUUUAGUAUUGACAUUAGUUCAUAUAAGACUGUGAUCAUUAUAGACAAAGACUUAGUUAUAGGUGUGAGACACAAAAUCCCUAGGCCCCAAAGUGGAGCCGGAAGGGCGCCACAUGGUAGUGGCCGAAGCGAGAGCCAAACGAGCGUAACACGUUUGGACCAAAAGCUCCGACUUGAAAAAUCAAGAGCGGGAGUGGAACUCCCAAAGAAGUGCUCGAGGAACGAGCACGAAGCAAGCAAAAGGCGAGGCUCCAAAAAGGGACCCAAAAGGGCCAACACAUGACACGUGGGAGUGUCCGAGAUGGACCCGAGUUGGAGUCCGAAGUGGAGUCCGAGAUGGACCCGAGUUGGAGUCCGAAGUGGAGUCCGAGAUGGACCCGAGAUGGAGUCUGAGAAGGAGUCCGAAGUGGAGUCCGAGAUGGACCCGAGAUGGAGUCCGAGAUGGAGUCCGAGAUGGAGUCCGAGGUGGACCCGAGAUGGACCCGAAAUGGAGUCCGAGAUGGAGUCCGAGAUGGACCCGAGAUGGAGUCCGAGAUGGAGUCCGAGGUGGACCCGAGAGGGACCCGAAAUGGAGUCCGAGAUGGAGUCCGAGAUGGACCCGAGAUGGAGUCCGAGAUGGAGUCCGAGAUGGACCCGAGAUGGACCCGAGAUGGAGUCCGAGAUGGAGUCCGAGAUGGAGUCCGAAGUCGAGACCGAGACCGGGACCGAGACCGAGACCGAGACCGAGAUCGGGACCGAGACCGAGACCGAGGCCGAGGCCGAGACCGAGCCCGAGCCCGAGUCCGAGUCCGAGUCCGAGUCCGAGUCUGAGUCCGAGUCCAAGUCCGAGUCCGGAGCCUGAGAGGGUGAAAGCCCAAAGCGUUCGUCUCCCAGACCCUGGGGGGUUUGGUGAGCUCCAAAAGUAUAGUAGGGGGAGGACUGCAGUGGAGCCAGUUUGGCCAGGAAAGGCCAGUUUGGCCCAGGAAGGCCGGACCCAGGGUUGGGUGAGGAGCUGCCCACUGGGAAGUCCAAGACUAGAGUGAACACAGACCGACAAGUGGGGUAACUUGGUGAAGUGUUCAAGAGCCGGCUCUAGUUCCCCCGGGAGAUCGACUGGCCGAUGCUCUCAGUCCAAGUGUGGGUGGCACUACCUACUUGGAUACCUAUCGUGGCUCAACGGAACCUCGCUCUAAGCCCAUGGCUAGAGCACCUAAAGACAAAAGGCGAGGAGAGUACCCAGGUGGCUUGCGUAAGGCCACGGUGUUCCGAAAUGUUGUCCCAAAGGCCCAGACUGUGGAGAGUAAGAGGCGCAGUCCUCUGGGGUAGUGACCAAGGACACAGUCGUGGGGUGAGGAAGUCCCAGAGGACCGUGGGACUUAAUGGUCGGGCCUGUGGGUCUCGAUCCAGUGGCAGUGUUGGCAAACACGGCCAGGGGCAGAAAAGGACUUAGUGGGGACUGACAGAGGGAUAUUGGGGAAGGCUAUUCCCCUUGUUGGUGGGCAUCCUAAGGAUGCUAAGGAGUGGAUCUGAGAUGACCACUCACGGAUGGUUUGCCUAGUCUUGGAGAGCCAAGACUGUGAUGCAAGUGGUAGUGGACUACCAGUGUGGCAAAGGUGAUUGGGCAUGGCCUUAGCGUAACGGGCUGCUAUGUCGGUGGUGCCUUUGAGUGUCGGUCAUGGGAUCGGACACGUGGAGCACUUGGACCAAGUGCAAAUGUUGAGUGGCAUGGAUGCCAUUCUCGGGGCUAGCAAGUCCCAAGUCCUGGAUUGGACUUAUGGAGGUUGUGAAUGAGACUCCUCCAAGUGGUCGGAGGUGUGGUUAAGUGACUAAAGUAGAAUGGAAAAUUUAGUCGCUUACAAUUUGGUAUCGGAGCUGUUCCUUAGUCCGACUUUUAUUGGUGCUCAAGUAUAUCACCACUAGUGUUGGCAUCGGAAGGUCCGAGGAAUGGGCCUAUCCUUGAGGAGUAGCAAGUCGGGAAGACAUGGCUCUCCAUUACAGUUCAUGUGUGAACUUGUAGACGAGGUGGUGGAUAGAAAAGGGCUAAUAAUGGAACGACUUUGGGAUCUUGGGAACAGUGCAAGGUUUUCCUCAUUAAGUUGAGGAUGUGAUCCGGAUGAGCAUUUGUCUCAGCAAAUUGGCUAAGGUUGUUGUGGUAAACAACUAAAGUUGGGAUCACGGGAAAGAUAGAGACUCCAAAACAAUAAAGGAGUCACAAGAUUAUCCUCAUAUAGUUGAGGUUGGUGCUCAUGAAUGUGAGACCAGAGGUAAUGACCGUGGGAGGUCAAAUACGGAAGAGGACUCAAGUCCUUGAAAUGGUAGCCGGGGCUACCUUUAAUAAAUGCUGGAACAACCCAAGGAGUUGGGGGGUGUACUUAGAGAUGAGUGGUAUUCUCAUCGCAUGGACAAGUAGUCCUAAGGGGCAAAAGUUGCCUCCAGAGAACAAAAUCAAGUGUCGGAGUAACACUUGUGAAAAUAGUCCUUUUGAGUAGGACAGGAAUGCAAGAAGUGUAUUCCAGUGAGCUAGUGCCUCACAAGUAGGACCUUACGGGUCUGUGGAUUAACCAAGUCCAAAACUGCUGGAUGACUCAAGUAGAGUCAACGGAUGGUCCUAAAAGGACUGAUGGAAGCAUUUGGACUGUGGUGUGUUGUACCCCACAAAGGAUGGGGGGGGGAUCAUAGGAUCCAAGGAUGAGGACAGAGGGUAUCUCAUCGAUGGCAAAAUGUGCCAUGCUAAAGUUAUGGGAAAGGUGUUCCCAGAAGAAAACAACUUUGACAUAAAGUUGUGUGUGACCUUUAUGGUGCAGUGCUAACAGAUGGUUGGCAUGAGAAAGAGCGGUGUUGGUCUUGGCAAAGACUUAGACACGAAGGGGAAAUGUCAUAGAGGUAGGCUCGUGGAGCCGAUGGUGUGGAGACACCAAAUGUGCCAAGGUGUGAUACCUUGAGGCUAUGUUGGUGGGUUCAUGAGAACCCCUUGCCAAAGGAAUCCCAAUGGAAAUGGGAACAGCAUAGCCUAAGCUGCAGAGCAUGCAGUUGGAGUGUGGUGACCCAGAUAAUGAUGGAGGUGUGAAAGCACCAAGCAAUGAGUUGUAGGACUUGACAACUAUGAGGCAACUAAGCAAGAGGUGCAAAAUAACUGGCUAAACGGGUAGAGGGUAGCUACCCAAGACUUCUAGCAUAGGGAAGUCAGAUAUACCCUUACGGGGGAUAAGUUGCUUAUGUUGCGAUAUAGUAAGUCAAUGUCAUAAAAGGAAAUACUCAUUGUCAAGAAAGCCAUCAUUGGGACACCCGAACACUCUAGAACACCAGAAGGUGGUGUUUAAUGUUGCGAGGGCAAUGGAUAAAGCCCAAGGGACUAAGUCCUUAGCGAAUGAUGGAUAGAAGGUGCUAUCCAAAUGUCCAAGGUUGCGAAGACAGGAGAGGACUGUCUACCCAAGUUGGACAAAGCCAAAAAUGGAAUUUUGGCAAGGCUAGUGAUGGGCAUGUAAAGGCCCAUAAGCAACAAUGUAAUCCCAGUGUGUGGGAUUAUAAGGUGAGCAUACCCGGAUUGAGGAACCACUCCCUGGGCUAUUGGGUAGGUUCAUCCCUAAGAAUACUUGCUAAGGCAUGAUAGAAAGUGCAAAGCUAUCCUCCUGGUCUGGAGGAGAAUGACCAAAGGAAAGGUGUGAAGCCAAAAAAGCAAGAAGUAAGGGGAUAGAACCGAACCGUAGGAAUCAAAGGGCAUAACCAAGGUUGGUUAUGCCAGCUGGGAGUGGAGAAUCAAGUGGGGGCUCGAGGGUGUUGCCGCUAGCAAUCGUGAUGCCAUGGAGAGUCUAAAAUAUGGAAUUGUCCAUGUUAGACUAUGUGACAAUUGGAGGGCUUGCAAAAAGGGAGGCCUUAGCAAGCUGAGGGACAGAGUUCCUUCAAGGUUCCCAAAGACGAUUCUAGGUAGCUUAGUACCUAGAAAGGCCAAGUGUAAAUGGUUCAUGGAACGCGCGAAAUCAGAGUGGCGCAGCAAAAGCGUGGUCUUGAAGCUUGCCAUGAGGCAAGGCUAUCAAGGUUAGGGAAGUAGUUCCCGAGUGUUCAAAGAGAGGGCUUUGAACGAAAGUUGAUGGUCAAGGACUUUCACGCUUAUGCAGGAACCAUGUUACAGUGGUCGGAGGACUUGCCAAGCGAGAUUGGCACGUCGGGGGAACAAAUACCCUAGUUGAAGGUGAUAACUUCAAAAAGGGGGGGCCAUGGGGCCGAGUAUGGAGGAGUCCAUGCAUGAUCACAGACAUGUCAAGUGAGAGGACUUGGCAGUGUGGAGGAACUAGGUUCCUAAACUGUGAUCUGUAGCGCGCUUUAAAAAUAAGUUGGUGCACCGGCGUGGGGAGUCACGCCAGGCAUCUUGUGUGAUGCCGUCCGUAGAUGCAUAUACGGAGGUUGGGUUCGAGUCCCGACCCUCUAGUGCUUGGGUUCGAGUCCCAAAUCACUAGGGCGUGGUGAUGGUUUGGAAUAUGAGGACACUCAUAUUUCGGUGGUCAUGGACUCUCAGUGGGGAGACUGGUUUGGGCACACUGCCAAGCGAGGGAUGCCUCGGAGUCGUGAUGCACGGUUAGAUUGCUUAGUGUGAAAGCUCAGCAUAUCUAACUUGAACACUUUGGUGCAAGUGGCACCAAGGUCGUGGUGAGUGAGAUGGGGACACCUAAUCUCAGUUGCUAUGAACCCUUGGCCAUAAGGGCUAGCUUGGGUGCACCGCCAAGUGUGGGGGAUGCCCCCGGGGUUAUAGUCAACAACUUGGAGGUCUAGAAGACCAAGUACCUCUUGGCAACUCUGUUAAGGUGCCAAGGUGAAAUCACUAGGUGAUCUUAUGGCCAGAUAAGGACAAGGUCCUUGGUUGGCUAAGGAAUGAAGUUCCUGGUUCAAAAUGUUGAAAUUGAACUGUUUAAGGUGGUGUGGCUUGGUCAUGAUGACCAAGUGGGAAGAGCACCUAAGGGAAAUAAAGUAUGUCCGUGCAAUGGCAUAGUGAGUCCGAGGAAAGUAGUCUCUAUAAAAGACCCAUGGGAGGGUCACGAAGUUGGGCCGUGGAUAGAGCCCAUAACAGAAGAUGCUAAAGAGACGUACUAGGGGUGAACAUCCUCCGGACUUGGCAAAGAAGAGUCUUUGCUAUGGAACCGAAAUAAUACCUCAAGGAGGGAGGUAGAGAUUCGAUGUUGCUUGGUGCAACAAUCAACGGAUAGGAGCAAAAGAUGAGUGGCCAAGAUAGGGCUGUGGAAUCCCUUGGAAGGAAUCCAAGUGACAAAGUUAGGCGAGGAACACUAAUGUGUUGGACGCUAACAAGUUGCGGGAAAGGAAGUGUGUUUCCAAAGAGGGAUUCCGAAAUGCUCCGAUUUGGCGAAAGUGGAAGCUCCAAGGGAGGGAGCGGUAAGGUAGCCAAAUGAUAGGGCCAUGAACAGCCCUAGCACAAAGUAUGAUAACUGGAACUUUGGCACGAAAUAGAAGAGAGGAUGAUGGUGCCCUCAAGUAGAGAACUUCCUAGGAUGGGAAGUGGAGUUGCACAAAAGGUGCAAGGCAAGGUGUCGGAGACACCUAGGAAAUUGACUCCAAGAAGUCAAAAUUCAAAGUUCCAAAGUGCAAAGGUUAUAUCGAUGGAAAUUGAGACUACUCGAGAAGGAGUAGUGGGAUUGACUUAGAGAAGGAUCUCUAAGAGGUUUAGCGAGAACUAAACCAAUAAAAGGAGAGAACCAUUAUAUGUGGUCCAAUCAGUCUCUGAGUUGAAGAGACUACCCUCCUUAGAGGAUAUGCAAAAAGGCAUGGUGAGCCUUCAAUGUCCAAACAUUGACGAAUGUGGAGAAGGCAUGGUGAGCCUUCAAUGUCACACCAUUGACAAAUAUUGGCUACGCGCCAAGGAUGGAAAUGGUAACACAUGCGGGUGUUACUUUAUAAAAUGGUUCACCGUUCGAUGAGGACAUCGAACUUCGUCUAUGGGUGGUGGAGUUGUGAGACACAAAAUCCCUAGGCCCCAAAGUGGAGCCGGAAGGGCGCCACAUGGUAGUGGCCGAAGCGAGAGCCAAACGAGCGUAACACGUUUGGACCAAAAGCUCCGACUUGAAAAGUCAAGAGCGGGAGUGGAACUCCCAAAGAAGUGCUCGAGGAACGAGCACGAAGCAAGCAAAAGGCGAGGCUCCAAAAAGGGACCCAAAAGGGCCAACACAUGACACGUGGGAGUGUCCGAGAUGGACCCGAGUUGGAGUCCGAAGUGGAGUCCGAGAUGGACCCGAGUUGGAGUCCGAAGUGGAGUCCGAGAUGGACCCGAGAUGGAGUCUGAGAAGGAGUCCGAAGUGGAGUCCGAGAUGGACCCGAGAUGGAGUCCGAGAUGGAGUCCGAGAUGGAGUCCGAGGUGGACCCGAGAUGGACCCGAAAUGGAGUCCGAGAUGGAGUCCGAGAUGGACCCGAGAUGGAGUCCGAGAUGGAGUCCGAGGUGGACCCGAGAGGGACCCGAAAUGGAGUCCGAGAUGGAGUCCGAGAUGGACCCGAGAUGGAGUCCGAAAUGGAGUCCGAGAUGGACCCGAGAUGGACCCGAGAUGGAGUCCGAGAUGGAGUCCGAGAUGGAGUCCGAAGUCGAGACCGAGACCGGGACCGAGACCGAGACCGAGACCGAGAUCGGGACCGAGACCGAGACCGAGGCCGAGGCCGAGACCGAGCCCGAGCCCGAGUCCGAGUCCGAGUCCGAGUCCGAGUCCGAGUCUGAGUCCGAGUCCAAGUCCGAGUCCGGAGCCUGAGAGGGUGAAAGCCCAAAGCGUUCGUCUCCCAGACCCUGGGGGGUUUGGUGAGCUCCAAAAGUAUAGUAGGGGGAGGACUGCAGUGGAGCCAGUUUGGCCAGGAAAGGCCAGUUUGGCCCAGGAAGGCCGGACCCAGGGUUGGGUGAGGAGCUGCCCACUGGGAAGUCCAAGACUAGAGUGAACACAGACCGACAAGUGGGGUAACUUGGUGAAGUGUUCAAGAGCCGGCUCUAGUUCCCCCGGGAGAUCGACUGGCCGAUGCUCUCAGUCCAAGUGUGGGUGGCACUACCUACUUGGAUACCUAUCGUGGCUCAACGGAACCUCGCUCUAAGCCCAUGGCUAGAGCACCUAAAGACAAAAGGCGAGGAGAGUACCCAGGUGGCUUGCGUAAGGCCACGGUGUUCCGAAAUGUUGUCCCAAAGGCCCAGACUGUGGAGAGUAAGAGGCGCAGUCCUCUGGGGUAGUGACCAAGGACACAGUCGUGGGGUGAGGAAGUCCCAGAGGACCGUGGGACUUAAUGGUCGGGCCUGUGGGUCUCGAUCCAGUGGCAGUGUUGGCAAACACGGCCAGGGGCAGAAAAGGACUUAGUGGGGACUGACAGAGGGAUAUUGGGGAAGGCUAUUCCCCUUGUUGGUGGGCAUCCUAAGGAUGCUAAGGAGUGGAUCUGAGAUGACCACUCACGGAUGGUUUGCCUAGUCUUGGAGAGCCAAGACUGUGAUGCAAGUGGUAGUGGACUACCAGUGUGGCAAAGGUGAUUGGGCAUGGCCUUAGCGUAACGGGCUGCUAUGUCGGUGGUGCCUUUGAGUGUCGGUCAUGGGAUCGGACACGUGGAGCACUUGGACCAAGUGCAAAUGUUGAGUGGCAUGGAUGCCAUUCUCGGGGCUAGCAAGUCCCAAGUCCUGGAUUGGACUUAUGGAGGUUGUGAAUGAGACUCCUCCAAGUGGUCGGAGGUGUGGUUAAGUGACUAAAGUAGAAUGGAAAAUUUAGUCGCUUACAAUAGGCUUCUUCAAGCUUUUGGUUCUUUAAGUUUCAUGCUCAUUGUUCCAUUUGUUAUAAGUUGUUAGGGGAAGGCAUUUUAGCUCAUUAGCUUCGAUGUUGAAGUUGUCUUUUGCAUCUCGCAAUCAUUGAUGAUGAUUGACUAUCAUCUCAGAUAGUUGAUUAUCCUUGUCAAAAGGUUUUGCUUGAUUGUUGUUGAUAUAAAAUGAUUUACUAUUCUUUGGGAUGGUGGAUUUCCUCUUUGACGAUGAUUUUAUAUCUCAUUAUUAAUAGGAUGAUUGAUGAUCUUUCAUGAUGGUUAGUUAUUCUCUUUGAUAGCUUAUAGUUUUUCGCAAUACCACAUGUUGUUUGUGGUUUGCUCUGGAUUGAUCUCUUGGGUUUGAGACAUCAGUAGGAUGUUGCUGACACUUGCUUAGGCAACUUGAGUUCCUUGGUGUUGUUGACUGGGAUCUAUUUAGAUUGGCUAGUGUGAUAGUUGGCAUGAAUGAGUGUUUGUUGGUUUGCCACAUUCAUUCUAUUCUGUUGAUUAUUGCUUGAGUUAGUUUCGAUAGAUUAGAAUGUUAUUUCUUUCAGGUGAUACAUUCAUGAGCAUUGUGCUUGCCAGUCAAUGAUACUUUAUGUUCUUUAAGUUAUCUUUGGUAAGUUAUUUGGCAUACUAUCUACCAUCUUUAGUAGUUAAGUUUCAUCAUUGAGUUUCCUUGAUGAUAUACUCGGACUCCAUCUCGGGUCCAUCUCGGACUCCAUCUCAGGUCCAUCUCAGACUCCAUCUCGAACUCCAUCUCGGGUCCAUCUCGGGUCCAUCUCGAACUCCAUCUCAGACUCCAUCUCGGGUCCAUCUUGAGUCUAACUCAGACUCCAUCUCGAGUCUAACUCAGACUCCAUCUCGAGUCCAUCUCAAGUCCAUCUCGAGUCCAUCUCACACUCCAUCUCGAACUCCAUCUCAGACUCCAUCUCGGACUCCAUCUUAGACUCCAUCUCGGGUCCAUCUCGGACUCCAUUUUAGACUCCAUCUCGUACUCCAUCUCGGACUCCAUCUCGAAUCCAUCUUAGACUCCAUCAUGGACUCCAUCUUGGGUCCAUCUUGGGUUCAUUUUGGACUCCAUCUCGGGUCCAUCUCGGAUUCUGCCAUGUGUCAUGUGUUGGUCCUCUUGUGUCCCUUUUCUAAAGACUCACUUAUUGCUUGCUCCGUGCUUGUUCCUUAAGCACUUCGUUGAGAGUUCCACUCCCACUCUCGAUCUUUCAAGUUGGAGUUUUUAGUCCAAACGUGUUACGCUCGUUUAGCUUUCACUUCGGCCACUACCACGUGGCACCCUUUCGGCUCCACUUUGAGGCCUAGGGAUUUUGUGUCUCACAAGAAGUAGAUCAAAUCAAAGUUCUAGCAAACAUGGCUGCUUUUGCAAUUUUUUAGUCAAACAAUUUUAUAAAUGGCCGGAUUAUGUGCAGAUCACAUAUUAUUAUAAAGAGCAUUGUGAUAAGAAUGAGAUUCCUUAUCAUGGUCAAUUUGAUCUGACUAGAGGAAAGUCAUUAUUUCCUCAGAAGCUUUCAAUAGAUAUUUGACAUUGGGUGAUUUAUAUGGUUCAGUAGAAUUUCAUAUCAAAUUAGAUUUAUAAUGAGCAUGUACAGAUUGUGGGAAGGAACAAGUCAGCUGGUGAACCUCCUUGUCGAGAUGAUUUUCUAACUAUGCAGAAUAUUAACAAUUUGCAUAGGAAGUAUUUGCUUUUAACUUAUUGACUACAUGAGAAUGAUGCACAAUGUGUAUGUAUUUAAAAGAACACAAAUCCCAAGAAAAUAUUUUUCUAUUAGGAAGGUGAUCAAGGUAAAGAUUGUUUUACCAUAAAGAUUCAAACAAUUUAGCAAUUGCAAAACAUGGUGGACUUUAUAAAUAAUAAUUUAUUGAGUUUUGAUGCAACUUUUGAAACUAAUGUUUACAAGAUAAAUUUUAAAAUUUCAACAACACGUUAAUAGUUAUAAUACAUCCUCGAAGCAGGCAAAACCUUUGGUAGAAAGAAUUACAAGUAAAAGAAAAAAAUUUAGUAGUCUAGAAGCAAUUUCUUUUACUAGGUAGAGGAAGACAAAAAAGAAAAAUUCUUUAAACAAAAAACUUAAUCUUAGCAAAGAAUAAAUUUAAAAAAACUCUUUAUAUACUUACAUUGCAUAUGAAUAAAUUUGUGAGAAGAUUUCAUAGCAAAAGUGGAUCACCACUUCUACUAUUGAUCAUAGUCAUCUAUGACACUCAUUAGCCAUAUAAAGCAUGUAGAAAGGCAUCCACACAUAUGCUAAUUGAAAUUUGGCCAAGUGUUGGGGCUGUGGCCACUUGGAAACAAUUAGGGUGCAUGCUAGGCUUGGGCAGACAUGCAGCGGGUGGGUGGGAGUGUGGGCAAUAGCUGUAGGCAGGAGUGUGCAGCUGUGACAGACGGGAGAGGGAGUGCACUGAUGGCCUAAUGCCAUCAUCAUCAACAAACAAAAAGAAGGCCUGAUGCCACAUCACUGCCAGGUAAGCAGAGAGAGAGAGAGAGUGAAUGAGGAUGGUGUUUAAAGGGAGGCGUGAAGAGUGCUUUUAUUUUAGUAGUUAUGGUAAACUCCUAUUUUGAACACAAUGCACUUUCUAAACUUAAAAAGCUUAAAAUCUCCAUGAUAAUUAACUUUCAUUUCAAAAUCAAAUUAAAUCCUCCGAGUGUCCAAGAGCCACUGGCGAUUAAGUCCCCCAGCUUGCAAAGCAGUCAUAUAAUCCUUAUAAACCAUAGGCUUAAACAGUGGAGAGCCCUCCACCAAUUUGCUUGCUGGGUGCACCAAACUCUCCCAAUUUGGCCCCAUUGCCACUGGAAUGGACAUUCGAUCUUCACUGCUAUUAACCACAGCCCUGUGCUGGGCACUCUUAUACUUGUCAUUGCUCAAAAUCUGCAAGAGAAUAAAAAGAAAACAUUAACUUUGACCAGUCAGUCAAUGCUAGUAAAGAAAGAGUGAACGCUGACCUGGAUCUGGUCGCCCAGAUUGACCACGAACGAAUAAGGUAUGGGCUUCACGGAGUACCACUCGUGACCGUGCAUCACCUGGAGACCCUCGACGUGAUCUUGGAGCAGCAGCGUGAUCGAUCCGGGGUCCGAGUGUGGGCCGAUUCCCAGCACCAUAUCGGGCUCGGGGCAAGCAGGAUAGAAGUUGAGAGCCAUCACUUGUGAGCAGCCAUUGAAUGCCUUGUCGAUGUAUCCUUUGGAAGAUUCAAGCUCUCGGAGAUGAUCUCCAGGAGGAACUUUGCAAGGUUGCGAACACGAGUGGAGUAAUCGGCAGUAACUUUCCUAUAAGAUGAUCAUAUACCAGCGAUGUUAAGAAAGGACGGCGAGAAGGUAUUUAUACCUGUAAGAUGCUGGCUUUUCAGGCCAGAGUUCUUGCAUCUCGGCCAGUGGGAGGCAGCUAUGGCGGAGGUAAUCUCUCCAGCUAAAGACCUUGUCUUGUGUGACAUUGAAGCUGGUUCCAUACCUCAUUCGGGAUUCGGUGUCUGUGGAGAAGUAGCGCAUUUUCUCCUCGUUUGGGAGAGCGUGGAAUUCGCGAGCCACCGAUUGCAUUUCAUCCACCAAAGAAUGGGGAACACCGUGAUUGAUCACCUGUAUGGCGAAGAUCACACAAUUCUCGAUCAAUUCUAGAC
rnacentral:lncRNA from 1 species